rnacentral:lncRNA from 1 species
CCUCAAUGAAAUCAAGGAUUCUGUUGUGGCUGGCUUCCAGUGGGCCUCAAAGGAGGGUGCACUGGCUGAGGAGAACAUGCGUGGCAUCUGCUUUGAGGUCUGUGAUGUUGUUCUUCAUGCUGAUGCAAUUCACAGGGGUGGUGGCCAGGUCAUUCCAACUGCCAGGAGGGUUAUUUAUGCUUCUCAGCUCACUGCCAAGCCAAGGCUGCUCGAGCCAGUUUACCUUGUGGAGAUCCAGGCCCCAGAAAAUGCACUUGGUGGUAUCUAUGGUGUUCUGAACCAGAAGAGAGGGCACGUGUUUGAGGAGAUGCAGAGGCCUGGUACCCCGCUCUACAACAUCAAGGCUUACCUCCCUGUCAUCGAGUCCUUUGGGUUCUCCAGCCAACUGAGGGCUGCAACCUCUGGCCAGGCGUUCCCUCAGUGUGUGUUUGACCACUGGGACAUGAUGGGCUCUGAUCCUCUGGAGGCCGGCUCCCAGGCUGCUCAGCUGGUGUUGGAUAUCCGCAAGAGGAAGGGUCUCAAGGAGCAGAUGACCCCUCUUUCUGAGUUUGAGGACAAGCUCUAAAUUUUGGUGGUUUGUGCUGCUGUUACCCAUGCUGGUUUCAUGGCCAAUUCGUCUACUGUAACUGGAACUACUUUCAUGUUUCAUUUCCUUUAGUUGUCAGAUGCAUCUGUUUUUGAACAUCAUUGGCCAUAUGGCAUUGUGCUGCUAAGACUGUAUUUUGUUAUCCGGUUGUGAUGUAACAGAUGAAAUAGAGUUCAUAUCUGUGGUUUAAGUGGUAGUAUUUGCGGUAUAAUGCUUGUUUCUACUGCCUUCUGAAAGCCUUUCUUUUGCCUAACGGUAGAGCGGAUUAACUAAGGGUGUUGUAUCAUUUGAUUCAUUUGAUCCUUCAUCAAGGAUGAAGCCAUCUCCUCAUGGGAACACAUUAUUCUACUAUUAGAAGCGAAGAUGUAACAAAUUAGUUGAAAGAGGAGCGUUGAAAGAGGAGCGAACCAUACUUUACUAUAUGGUAAGUAGCAAAUUAGUUACAAGUAGCAAAUUAGUUGAACUUUAGGAUCAUGCACGUUGAACCUUGUUAUCUAGGAUCAUCCAUGGAUCAUGCACGUUGAACCUUGCUAACUAGGAUCAUGCACGUUGACCCUUGUUAUCUAGGAUCAUCCAUGGAUCAUACACGUUGAACUUUGCUAUCUAGGAUUAUCCAUGUAUGCAUCAUGUAGUGCAUCUGUGCAUGCAAUAUUCUGUUAUCUAGGAUCAUCCAUGGAUCAUACACGUUGAACUUUGCUAUCUAGGAUUAUCCAUGUAUACAUCAUGUAGUGCAUCUGUGCAUGCAAUAUUCUGCCCUUAGCUUGGUUUUACUGCCGAUAGCUAUAUAGUGCAUUUAAAUGCUUUUCUUUUGCCCACAGCCCCAGAGGUAGAGAGGACUAACUGUUUCUGUUGCUUUUUUUUUUUACGGUCUACGGGAGAGAGUGUGUGUGUGUGUUGGGGGUGGGAGCGCCCCCACCUGAUUUUCAUUUCAUUGAGGGUCUGUUUCAGGCCAAACGCUGUGUAGAUCAAAAGGAGAUAGAGAGAGGCAGUGUACAUCUGGUUUUGUGAUUGUUUUACAUCGAAGCAAAGACAGUGCACCAGGAGUCGGUUAUCACGCGAUCCUCUAUGCGAAACCGCUCGCGCCAAAGUCGGGCUUCGUCUCGGCAUGCCGACCAGAAGCGUUGUUGAGAUGGAGCGCAGCGCUGGAACACUGGGUCAUUCCGGUGCUUCCAUAACACCCACGGCAGAAGGAGUUUUUUCUUGCUUUGCCUUUAGCUUGGCUUUAAUCCUGUUAGCUAUGCCUAUGUAGAGCAUUUGGUCCUUCGAAUUUUAAAUCGAUGUUGAUUUUGAUUGCAUGCCGUCAUUUUGGGUUGGUUCCAACUAUGUUUUUAAUAUCAGUCGUUCUGAAGGUUACUCUGUUGACACUUGAUUGCAUAACCGUUUGCUAGUUUUGCGUGCAUCCGCGUGCUGGUUCGUCUCAUCAAGAACUAGCCGUUGCUCAAAACUCUGGCUUUCAGGCAUGGCCGCAACAGCCUGGAGGAUGUGUUGCUGUUCUGUAGCUGUAGUGUGCGUCUGUGCUAGUGGAUGCAGGGAGCCAGCGACCUAAAAGGAAUCGUGUAUUAGUGGAUGCAGGACAUCGGCCGUGGCGGCCUGGGGGAGACGACCACGCUCGACAUGAACGGCAGUAAGUUCAAUGGCACGAUCCCGGCGUCGCUUACCGGCCUAUGGAGCCUCCAGUAUCUAGAUGUGAGCGGCAACCGCUUCACCGGCACCAUCCCAGCGUUGCUAUCUGGACUCCGGAACCUCCAGCUUCUCGGCCUGAAUGACAACCUCUUCACCGGCACCAUCCCGGCGGACCUCGGCGAGCUGGCGAGCCUUCACAUGCUGUAUCUGGCAAACAACCAGUUCGAUGCAGGCCAGCUGCCGUCGUCGUUCAAGAACCUGACCAACCUGGUCAGCCUCUGGGCGUCGCAGUGCAACCUCGUCGGAGAGUUCCCGAACUUUCUUUGGAGCCUGAAGGAGCUGCAACUAUUGAAUCUGUACACGAACAACCUCACCGGCAACUUGGUGGUUGAUGGCCUUGUUGCGAGGAACUUGACAGUAAUCGACGUCUCGGAGAACAAGAUCACUGGAGUUAUCCCGAGUGUUUGGGAGCUUGGAGAACCUCAGAGACUUGAACUUCUUCAUGAACAACUUCUCCAGCGAGAUACCAGCCAGCAUCGGCCGGUUGCCCUCACUGACGAGGUUGAGGCUCCACACCAACAUGCUUAACGGCACGCUCCCACCGGAGCUCGGAAAGCAAUCGCCGGGCUUGAAUUAUGUUGAGGUUGAUUACAAUGAGCUCACCGCCGAGAUCCCGGAAGGGCUGUGCACUGGAGACAACCUCCAGCACCUCACCGCCAAGAGCAACCAAUUGAACGGCUCCAUCCCAGCAGGCCUUGCCAACUGCGCCACUCUUGGAACCCUGUCGCUGGACAACAACCAACUCUCUGGCGACGUACCAGAGGCUCUGUGGACGGCGACGAAGCUUUACCAGAGGCUCUUCCGGCCACGGUGCAUCUCAACCUUUCGACGAUACUCAUAGGGAACAACCAAUUUGGUGGCAACAUUCCGGCUGCACUAGCUGCGCUCCAGGUGUUCACCGCCGAGAACAACCGGUUUUCUGGUGCGAUACCGGCGAGUCUUGGCGACGGCAUGCCGCUGCUGCAAAGACUGAACUUAUCCGGUAACCAACUGUCCGACGGGAUCCCCAGAAGCGUUGCUAAGCUAAGCCAGCUGACGGAAAUGGACCUGAGCAGGAAUCAGCUCACCGGAGGCAUACCGGUAGAGCUCGGCGCCAUGCCGGUGUUAAGUGUCCUUAACCUGUCGUCGAACAAGCUCUCCGGCAACGUGCCGCAGGCGCUUGCGAAGCCGACACUCACCGCCCUAACCUGUCCUCGAACCAUCAGACCGGCCAGGUCCCGGCCGGGUUCGCCACCGCGGUCUACGACACCAGCUUCCUCAACAACCCCGGCCUCUGCACCGCCGCUUGGGGACCUGGCUACCUCACGGGCGUACGCUCCUGCGCCGGUGGAUCACAAGACGGCGGUUCCUCCGGAGGCGUGUCGCACGCCCUGCGCAGGGGAACCUCGCCGUGGCGUUCGCCUUCUUCGUCGUCCGCGACAUCAAGAAACGGCGGCGCGUCGCGGAGCAAGACAACUGGAAGAUCACGCCUUUCGUCAAAGAUCUGGGAUUCGGUGAGGCACCCAUACUCCGGGGGCUGACGGAGGAGAACCUCGUCGGGCGCGGGGGAUCGGGGCGCGUGUACCGCGUCGCCUACACCAACCGGCUUAACGGCCGAGCCGGCGCGGUGGCCGUAAAGCAAAUACGGACCGCCGGGAAGCUCGACCAGAAGCUGGAACGCGAAUUCGCGUCAGAGGCUGGCAUCAUCGGCAACCUCCGGCACAACAACAUCGUCAAGCUCUUGUGUUGCCGCUCCAGCGCCGAGUCCAAGCUCCUCGUGUACGACUAUGGACAACGGCAUCCUGGACAGGUGGCUCCACGGCGACGCCCUCGUCGCCGGCGGGCGCCCCAUGGCGAGGGCGCGGUCCGCGCGGCGCGAGCCGCUGGACUGGCCGGCGAGGCUCAGGGUGGCCGUCGACGCCGCGCAGGGGCUGUGCUACAUGCACCACGAGUACGAGCCGCCCAUCGUCCACCGCGACGUCAAGACGAGCAACAUCCUGCUGGACUCGGAGUUCCGGGCCAAGAUCGCCGACUUCGGGCUGGCCACAGGAUGCUGCUGCAGGCCGGGGCGCCGGAAACGAUGUCCGCCGUCGCUGGCUCGUUCGGCUACAUGGCUCCUGGUAAGGAUUCGAACUUGCUGCUUUCAGUGAAUUUCUGUCCCAUUUCUACAAAUGCCACGUGUUCUCGUGUUGCCGGACCUUAGAUUGGGCCUUUUGAUGCUUAUCUGCAGAGUGUGCUUACACCAAGAAGGUGAACGAGAAGGUAGACAGCUUCGGUGUCAUUCUCCUGGAGCUCACCACCGGAAAGGAGGCCAACAACGGCGGCGAGCACGGCUGCCUGGCGGACUGGGCACGGCGCCACUACCAAUCAGGAGGGAGCAUCGCCGACGCCACAGACAAGAGCAUCAGAUACGACGGGUACUCUGACGAGAUCCAGGUUGUCUUCAGGCUCGGCGUGCUCUGCACCGCCGAUAUGCCGUCGUCGCGGCCAACCAUGAACGACGUGCUGCAGAUCUUGGUCAAGUGCAGCGAGCAGACGUACCACAAGGGCAAGACGGAGCGUGGCCCAGAGUAUGAGGUGGCUCUUCUACCCAAACGCGGCAGUCGCCGGAAACAGCUUUCAAACGGCUCGGGGAUUUACAUCGAAGAGAAGAUGACAGCAUUGUCUGAAGAAAGGAACUGACCACUGCAUAUGCCAGUAAGCAGCUUGUGACAUCGUCAGUGAACUGCUUGCUAUAGUGAUACUUCACAUUUUAGCAGAGUACAGCGGAGAAUUAUGCCUCUAAUCUUUUUUUUUCUGAGGAGCUAAGUAUCUUUAUAUUAAAAAGAGAAUAUAAAUAGAAAAAAUCAGUCCAUUGGAAGCAACCACUCUAGCUCACCUAGGAGAAUAGAGAGAUUGCAUAAACAAGCGAAGAAAAAACCGUCACCAGACCUUGACCCUGCACGGCUGGACUAGGGACAUGCAUAGUAUAGAGCAGGGCUUGUGGUUAGCCAAACCGUUCUGUGUAUUGAUACUGCAAAUCUGUAUUAAAUCACACACACAUUAUACGUUCCGACAGAAGAACUAGCAAACAUUACGAUUAUACUCCCUCCGUUCUUAAAUAUAUAACGCUAUUGACUUUUUCAUUUGUUUGACUAUUCAUCUUUUCUACAAAUAUUUUUGCAAAUAGAUAAAUCUACGAGUUAAAUCUAAAGUACAUUUCACAAUAGUCAUAAUGAUACACAUUUUACUUUAGUUAACUAACUCAUUCAAUAGAUAUUGAUGGUCAAAGUUGGAGUAAAAAGCCAACAGCAUCAUAUAUUUAAGAAUGGAGGGAGUAAUUUAUUUCUGAAAUAAAGGCAGGAGAUGGAGCUCUGCUUAUCCAUUCAGAAAUUAGUACGAUUGAAUGAUUUUGUCUCCUUCCAGUUUUUAUUGUAAAACACAGAAUAUUACACGGAUAGGCACUGAUUGUUAUCCGGAAGAAAAUGAAUUUUUAUAUUUCAAAAGAAAAGGCCCAAUUUGCACCCUCUAGCUAGCACGAUAAUCCAAUUUUCAGCUAAACUGACCAUGGGCCGGCCCAAAGGCACAGGAAUUUGGCCCGGUCUAGGCAUGGCGGCCGUCGUGCUCGUGCUAACCCGACCCACACCAUGGGCCGUGCUUGGGCCGUUGCCUCAGCCCACGUACUGGUCCGGCACGGCCUGCCCAUUUGGCCCGUCGGGAUUAAGUGGGCGGCCCAUCCUAUUAAGGCCCACUCGACCGCAUAUAAAACCCCCCACCCCCAAACGGCCAAACCCUACCUUCCUCUUCGUGUCCCGCGCCCUUCGCCGCCGUCACCUCCCCCGCGCCCUUCGCCGCCUCUCGCGCCCGCCGGCCGCUCACGCCCUCCGCCGCUUCCCCCCGCCGCCUCCCUCACGCCCUCCGCCGCAUCCUCCCACCGCCUCCCUCGUGCCCUCCGCCACCUCCCGCGCCCGCCGGCCUCUCGCUCCCCUGCCACCUCCCCCGCGGCCCUCUGCCGCCUCCUACACCCGCCGGUCCCUUGCCGCAAUUGGGGAAGAUGGUGGCCUGCACGGCGGCGCGCGCAAACGUCCUGUCGUCCCUCGGCGGUGGGAGCUGCGGCACGAGUGGGCGCCUGGGCAGAUCCGGGAAAGGUCUAUGGGCGCCCUGACGACGAGGUGGUCGAAGUCAUCGGGGCUAUCGAACUCGACGACGACAGGCGCUACGGGCGUAUGAGCAGAGGAAGGGUGAAUUCUGUGCCGCAGGCUGGCACGAGCACGGUGAGGCCGUUAAGGCCUGCCAGGCCAGCGUGCCAGCACGGCCCACCUAAGAAGGCUGCGGGUCAUGCCUGGACCGCUCCUUCGGCACAUGGGCCGGCACGGCCUGGCACUAUUACCGUGCAAGCCUAACCGUGCCGGGCCUAACCGUGCCAGGCCAAAUCGUGCUCGUGCCAGGCCGGGUUGGGCUACCUGUUUGGCCAUCUAUACAUCCAACGGUUGAAACCAGAUAAAUUUUAUCCUUUAGCUGGUUUCAAAGAUGUUUUUUUGUUUUAUUAGACAUUUAAAAAAAAUCUGAUUUAAUCUUGUUGGGGGGAAAUAUUAACGAUCCCCUAAAUACCACUUAAAGGAGCAGACGCGAAGGCCCGGGCCCACCUAAGCAUAAUCAAAACUCCGCCUCGCCCGACCGCGGCCUCAGGGUCAGGAACGCCCGACCCCCCUCCACGAGGUUUCCGCCUCGUCCGACUGCGGCCCCAGGGUCGAAGGCGCCCGAUCCCUCGCCACAAGGUUCCGCCUCGUCCGACCCCAAGCGCAGGGGUCGGGCUCGCUGGGGCCCCCAGGGCAGGCAUCCCCCUCGGAUGUGGACCAGGUGGGCAAGAUAAACAAAUCUUGCGGGUCCCCCCCCCCAUCGGCCUCGUCAUAAAUGCGCUGCGGGCCUGGCAGAGGGAGGAAUGACCACGCUCCUCACACAACCCGCCGCAAGUACCCAUGCACGACCAUACUGUACAAGCUACAGCGCUGGCGGCUCACUCCCAUUCGCCGCAGGGUACUCAUGGCCUGCGCCGACCGGAGCGGAGGAGAGACUCGCCUGUCCUCGAGCCCCGCGCACCCUCGGGUCCCGUGCGCCUGGCAUCUAGGAUGUGACGCCCUCUCUCCAGGAGCCAUCAUCAGAAUGGCAGCAUCCACCGUCCUCCCCAACGGACACCGGGAUAACGACGAAACGCCCUCAUCAUAACCCGACGCCUACGGAUGCCGAAGGAGCUAUCUGUAGGGUGCAACGACAGUUGGCGCACGGCCGCCUCCCCCUCCGGCAUGCACGCCGGCGCUCGCCAGGAGCCGGCGGAGGCGUCGGGCGUCUAGGAACUUGUUCCUCCCAUCCUGCCGUAUUUUUUACCGUACUACGUUCACAUUUUACGGUCCUCUUCGCCCGAUCCCAACUGUAACUCUGGCCACUCCCCUUGCGAUAUAAAAGGAGGAACACAGGGCCGGAGGGGGGGAUCGGCUUCUUCCCCCUCAAGCCACAGCAUGCUAGUACGCUCCCUGAGAACAUAGGCUCAAAGAGACUUGGGACCAGUCCCUCUCUCGUCGGUCUGUAACCCCUACUACAGAACCCCGCGUGGGCAAUACGAGCAUCCACGAUACUGGACGUAGGGCUCCCUUUGCUCGAACCAGUCUAAUCCGUGUCUCCCACGCCACCAUCUGAGGCCUUACGCGCAUAAAAGAAAUUUACUAGUCUAAGUCUUGAUCCGCCAAUCUUGACAACGACAGUUGGCGCGCUAGGUAGGGGACCUUUGCGCAUACCCUCCCAGCCUCAGAUGGCCAAUUACGAUAGUAGCUUUGCUCCGGGCUCCCUGAUCCGAUUCGGGAGCCUGGACUUCCUCGCCACCGGGGAAGGGAUCAAGCUGAUCCCUGUCCUCAUCCUGCCCGCUCGCCCGCCUGCCCCCGGCCCCGCCGCCGGGACAGCGGUGAGCGGCCGCUCGCAUACCGGAAGGACCUCGCCAGGGGGACGGCCCUUCGGGCUACGCAAUGCCACGGGGGCCUACGGACGCCUCCUAGCGCGGUCCAUGACCGCGUCGCCCGCGAGCAACGAGCUCGUAGGUGCGACAAGGACGAUCUCCGACACCGGCUCCAGCAGCGGGAGCCCCCACCCCUCGCGUGAGUGCCUCGUGGUCGACGAGCACUCUGAGGGAUCCAACAGCAACGAUGCCGAGGAGAGACAAAGGGCUGCCCCUCGCGCGCCGCGGCUAUGACCGGAGCCUUACCAAGGGCACCAGAGUGCUCUCAGCAACGAGAGGCGCGCGCGGGCGCCCGCCAAGAAGUCGAGCACCCCCACCACGAGGGAGGAGCGCGACAACGGGCGCGAGACGUCCAGCGACGCAUCUGCGCGGAUGAAGAGCGUCCGCAGCUUUUCGCCCGCGCCAGCCAAAACGUCGCAGCCGCGGCGGUGUUGCUCCGACAGCUCCCCGAACCAGCGAUGCCCGAGGAGCGACGGGCACGCCAAGAGAUGCGCGACCUGCUCGAAUGCGCCGCCGUCCAGCAGGCGGAAAGCUCCGCGUCCCGGCGACGCGGGCAGAAUGCCAGCAGGGCGACGCCCGACGCGCCCCCGGAAAGGCGGGGGGAAUCAGUCCAUCUACCCCCUCCUGGGGCGAAUCAGGCCGCGUCCGCCCGACGGACUCCACCACCCGCGGGAGGCGAGGCUCGAUCCGUCCACCAGCGCGUCGGCCUCGUCCGCGACGCCCGCGACACCCUAAACGCGCGGAGACGCUCCCGCGCGGACAGGGAGGACGGGGUAGAUCGAGGCUACCACGUCCACCGUGGCGGGCGCUACGACAGCGGGGAAGACCGCAGCCUGAGCCCCGGUCCGGCUGGGCCCCGGGCCUUCUGUGCGCGCAUCCUGAACGCGCCUUUUCCGCCGCGCUUCAGGCAACCCAUGAGUAUAGCCAAAUACUCAGGGGAGACGAAUCCUGGAGUGUGGCUCAGCGAUUACCGGCUUGCAUGUCAAGCCGGCGGGGCGGAUGAUGACCUGUUUAUCAUCCGCAACCUACCCCUCUUCCUAGCCGACUCAACGCGAGCUUGGCUAGAACAUAUCCCUUCGGGACGAGUUCGCAACUGGAAUGACCUGAAGGAGGUUUUCAUAGGGAACUUCCAGGGCACGUACACACGCCCCGACAAUUCCUGGGACCUCCGGAGCUGUCGUCAGGGGGCGGACGAGUCCCUCCGAGAUUAUAGCCGGCGCUUCUCCAGGAAGCGCACCGAGCUCUCCAACGUCGCGGACGCCGAUGUCAUAGGAGCUUUCCUAGCAGGAACCUCCUGCCGGCCCCUCGUCCACGAGCUGGGGUGCCGAGGCCCGCGAACCACGGAGGAGCUCCUCAAUAUCGCCACUAGUUACGCCUCGGGCGAAGAGGCCGUUGGAGCAAUCUUCGACCGCUCCAAAGGCAAGGCGAAACGGGAGGAGGUUGCUGGCGAAGGCACCUCCAACCGCCAGCAGAAGAAGAAGGGCAAGUUACGGCGCGAGGCCCCCCUCGUGGCCGCAGCUGAGCGCAAGCGAGGGCCGCCGCCCCCCGAGGGCGCUCCCGGCUUCUUCGACAAGUUGCUUGAGGGACCGUGCCCGAACCACGAGUUCCCCGUGAAGCACGCCUACAAAGACUGCAACCUCAUGAAGAGAUACUUCAUGGGCAAUUCGGUGAAAGGCGACCGGAAGCGGAAGCCCGAUGAGGAAAAGAAGGGCGACGAAGAGAAGGAAGACGGCUUCCCCAAGGUGGACGGCUGCUUCAUGAUCUUCGGGGGCUCUGCGGCAUACGACACCAAGCGCCAGUAGAAGCUGGAGCGCCGGGAGGUCUACGCGGCCGAGCCAGCGACUCCGGCCUUCCUGGACUGGUCAGGGCCGGCCAUCACCUUCGACAGGACCGACCACCCUGGACGCGUCCGGCACCCGGGGCGUUACCCUCUCGUCGUCGACCCCAUCGUCGGCACGACGCGCCUCACCAAGGUGCUCAUGGACGGAGGCAGCAGCCUCAACAUCCUCUACGCCGAGACCCUCGACGCUAUGGGGAUCGACCGUUCCCGCCUCCAUCCCAGCAAGGCGCAUUUCCAUGGCGUCGUGCCAGGGAAGCAGGCGAUGCCUCUCGGGCAAAUCGACCUGCGCGUUACGUUCGGGACCCCUUCCAACUACAGGAAGGAGGUCCUCACAUUCGAGGUGGUGGGGUUCCGCGGAACCUACCACGCCAUCUUGGGACGGCCUUGCUACGCAAAGUUCAUGGCUAUCCCCAACUACACCUACCUCAAGCUCAAGCUGCCGGGGCCCAACGGGGUCAUCACCGUCGGCACGACCUUUCAGAAGGCGUACGAGUGCGACGUAGAGUGCUGCGAGUACGCCGCGGCCAUCACCGUCACGAGCGAUUCGGCAGUCCAGCUUGCGGAGGCCACCGAGGACCGGCCCGACUCCAGGCAGCCGAACAUCUCCUUCGAGCCCGCUGAAGGUAUCAAGGAGGUCCCCCUUGAUCCCGGUUGUUCCAACGGAGGAGUCGUGCGGAUCAGCGCGGCCCUAUCCCCCAAAUAGGAAAGCGCGCUCGUUGACUUCCUCCGCGCGAACAGCGACGUCUUCGCGUGGAAGCCAUCGGACAUGCCAGGCAUUCCGAGGGAAGUCGCCGAGCACUCCUUGAACAUCAGGGCCGGUUCCAAGCCAGUAAAGCAAGGAUUGCGCCGUUUCGACGAGGAAAGGCGCAAGGCCAUCGGCGAAGAGCUCCAGAAGCUUCUGGCGGCCGGGUUCAUCAAGGAAGUGCACCACCCCGAGUGGCUAGCUAAUCCUGUCCUUGUACCAAAAAAGAAUGGGAAAUGGAGGAUGUGUGUCGAUUAUAACGGUCUCAACAAAGCGUGUCCAAAGGACCCGUUUCCUUUGCCACGCAUAGAUCAAAUAGUCGACUCAACUGCCGGGUGCGAGACCCUCAGCUUCCUCGACGCAUAUUCCGGCUACCAUCAGAUCGCGAUGAAAGAGGCCGACCAGCUCGCUACCUCCUUCAUCACCCCCUUCGGUCCCUACUGCUACGUUAAGAUGCCAUUCGGCCUCAAAAACGUGGGGGCUACCUUCCAGCGAUGCAUGCUGUAGUGCUUCGGAGACCUCAUUGGGCGGACCGUUGAGGCCUACGUUGACGACAUCGUCGUAAAAUCCCGGAGGGGCGACCAGCUCGUUCCCGUCCUUGAACUAGCCUUCGAGAGGCUGAGGGAUAAGCGUAUUAAGCUCAAUCCCAAGAAAUGUGUGUUCGGAGUCCCAAGGGGCAUGCUGUUAGGCUUCAUCGUCUCCGUGCGCGUCAUCGAAGCAAACCCGGAGAAGAUAGCGGCCAUUAGAGACAUGGGGCCGAUCCGGAACAUAAAGGGAGUUCAGCGCAUCAUGGGAUGCUUGGCAGCUCUAAGCCGCUUCAUCUCGCGCCUCGGCGAGCGAGGGCUUCCUUUCUAUCGGCUCCUGAAGAAGACUGACCGUUUCGAAUGGACCAGCGAGGCCCAGGAGGCACUUGACCGACUCAAGGACCUCCUGACGAAGGCCCCGAUCCUAGUCCCGCCUACCGACGGCGAGUCCCUCCUGCUCUACGUCGCGGCGACCACCCAGGUGGUUAGCGCGGCCUUGGUGGUGGAACGAGAAGAGGAAGGACACGCUCUCAAGGUGCAACGCCCGGUGUAUUUCAUCAGCGAAGUCUUGUCCGAGUCCAAGACACGUUACCCGCAGAUCCAGAAGCUCGUCUACGCCAUCCUUAUCACAAAGAGGAAGCUGCGCCACUACUUCACCUCCCACCCGGUAACAGUCAUUUCGUCAUUCCCGUUAGGCGAAGUAAUCCGGAACCCAAAUGCUACAGGGAGAAUCGCGAAGUGGGCGCUUGAGCUCAUGGACCAGGGUAUCACCUACGUCCCCCGCACCGCCAUCAAGUCCUAGGCACUCGCCGACUUCGUGGCAGAGUGGACGGAGAUUCAAACGCCAUCGGCGCCAGAGAAGCAGGAGUAUUGGACAAUGUACUUCGACGGGUCACUGAUGAGGGCCCGCGCCGGAGCGGGUCUCGUUUUCGUCUCUCCCUUGGGCAUGCGCAUCAGGUACAUGAUCCACCUUCAUUUUCCUGCAUCUAAUAAUGUCGCCGAGUACGAAGCCCUCCUCAACGGACUCCGCAUCGCCAUCGAGCUGGGCAUCCGUCGGCUGGACAUCCGGGGCGAUUCCCAGUUGGUCGUCGAACAAGUCAUGAAGGAGUGGAGCUGCCACGACCCCAAAAUGGCAGCCUACUGCAACGAGGUCCGUAAGCUCGAAGACAAAUUCGACGAGCUAGAGCUCAACCACGUCGCAAGGCGCUUCAACGAAGCCGCCGACGAGCUGGCGAAGGCGGCAUCCGAAUGAAUGCUCGUCCCCGACGGCGUCUUCGUUAGCGACCAGUUGAAGCCCUCAAUCCGUUACCCAGAACUGCAGGGGUCGGCGAAGCACCCCCGGCCCUGGGAUCGGGACCCGAGUCAGGGGAGGUCGGCAGCGCGCCACCUGUCCGAGACCCGAGCACCAGCCCCGAGGGGGUCGACAACGCUUUGCCCAACUCGGCCCCGGGAGCCGAUCCGUCCGACCCCGGGGUCAUGGAAAUCACGGCAGAUUCCGCGGCGGGUGCCGACCCCCCGAUCGAUUGGAGAGCCCCAUACAUCGACUACCUCGUCCGCGACACGCUCCCGGCAGACAAAACGGAGGCCCGUAGGAUCGCGCGCCGCGCCAAAUCCUUCGCCAUCAUCGACCAGGAGCUCUACAAGAAAAGCCACACUGGAAUCCUCCAGCGCUGCAUCUCGAUCGAACAGGGAAAGGCGCUGAUCAAGGAUAUCCACGCCGGAGCCUGUGGUCACCACGCCGCGCCAAGGACCCUCGUUGGUAACGCCUUCCGACAAGGUUUUUACUGGCCGACCGCGGUCGCGGACGCUACCCAGGUAGUCCGCACCUGUGAAGGAUGCCAGUUCUUUGCCCGCCAGACUCACCUGCCCGCGCAGGCGUUGCAGACCAUCCCCAUCACGUGGCCAUUUGCGGUUUGGGGGCUAGAUCUCGUCGGACCCUUCAAGAAGGCACCCGGGGGCUUCACCCAUCUGCUCGUCGCCAUCGACAAGUUCUCCAAAUGGAUCGAGGCAAGACCGGUGGCGCAAAUCAGGUCCGAGCAGGUGGUCCAGUUCUUCACCGACAUCAUCCACCGCUUCGGGAUCCCGAAUUCCAUCAUCACCGACAACGGCACACAGUUCACUGGGAAGAGAUUCCUCCAGUUCUGCGACGACCACCACAUCCGAGUGGAUUGGGCGGCCGUGGCACACCCCCGCACGAACGGGAAAGUCGAGCGAGCCAAUGGCAUGAUACUCCAGGGUCUCAAGCCAUGGAUCUUCGACCGCCUUAAAAAAUUCGACGGACGGUGGGUUGCGGAGCUUCCCGCAGUCCUUUGGAGCCUGAGGACGACCCCCAGCCGGGCGACGGGCUUCACCCCGUUCUUCAUGAUCUACGGGUCAGAGGCCAUUUUGCCCACCGAUCUAGAGUACAGAUCGCCAAGGGUCAAGGCAUACGACGAACAGGGAAACCAGGCAUCAUUCGAGGACGCGCAAGAUCAACUCGAUGAAGCGCGAGACGUAGCUCUACUGCACUCGGCUAAGUACCAGCAGGCCCUACGGCGUUACCACAGCCGCAAGGUGCAAGGCUGAGCCUUCAACGUCGACGACUUGGUGCUCCGCCUCGUCCAAGACAACAGGGGUCGGCACAAGUUGACUCCCCCAUGGGAAGGCCCGUUCAUCGUCGUACAAGUUCUACGGCUGGGCACCUACAAGCUGGCAACUCCCGACGGGCAGGUUUUCAGCAACGCCUGGAACAUAGAACAGCUAAGGUGCUUUUACCCAUAGCUUUUAUUUCCAAGCCCUGCAUAAAACUUGUCUUCAAUUCCGAUAUUUCCUUUAAGCUCAGGGGUAUCCGACCCUGGCCUCGUUCCAGGGCCGCAUACCCCUCGGGGGCUACCAGUUUUGCUCCUCUGCGAAAAAAAAGAAACCCCGAGCCGUCUCGGUUCAGGCCUUUUCCUUUAAGCUCAGGGGUAUCCGACCCUAGCCUCGCUCCAGGAUCGCAUACCCCUCGGGGGCUAUCAGAGGUUCCGACCCCAGCCGCUCGGCCCUAUCUAAAAGAAACAUUUUUUCUUUUCAAACCGAACACUCCCUUUCUAGACCUUUGGGCGCAAAAAAGAGAAGGAUGCGCGAACGGUGCUCAGGCAAGUUUGAUCGGACUGCGAAAAAACCUACGCCCCAGCGGCUACGGCACCUUCGCUCAUCAAAACUUAAUGACGCACCCGACAACGCAUUCUAAACUUUCAAGCCCAAAGGAACAGCAAAGGGGAUCGGGAUCUUUCGCACAACGAAGUCAUAAACAAGCCUGUAUGGCCAUCACAAAAUAAGUUCGAAACUAACAUAAUUACAUUUUGGGCACAAGCCCGGUACAGUUAACUUGACGAGGGGUCGGCAGGAGGGAUGACCUCAUCUUCCAGGAGCUUCGCGAGGGCCUCCGCCGGCGCGGACACCGCUGCAUCAAUCCCGUCCAGCUCAGCUUCGGUGUAAUCAGCGGCGUACCCUUCACUCAUCCCGGCAAAGUUGAUGCCAGAAUAAUGGGAGCCGAAGACCCCGAAGGCUCGCCGCAUGCCGACGUGAAGCGCGUCCAUGGCGAUCUCGCGACGUCGACGGCGUACCCCAAGGACACGAGCCGGCAGAGAGCUCGACCCCUCCUCCGGAACUACGCCAAAGUCGUCACAGACGACGCGGACCGCAUCCCGCAAGGCGCCGUGCUCGCCGUGCUCCGCGUCGAGCAAACCCUUCAGCUUGGCGAUUUCGCCUGCAGGAACCACCCAGAAAAGCCCACCAAGUCAAGAACAGAACACAAAAUGUCACGGGAACGCGGGAACGGAAAAAAAAAGCCUCACCGUCGGCCCAGGCCUUCAACUCGCGCUCCCGGUCGGCUCCUUGAGACACGGCGGACUGGAGUCCCUGCACUUGCGAGCGAAGGCGACCAGUCUCCGCGCUAAGGGCUUCACGCUCCCCCCUCAGCUGUGCAAGCUCCCCGGCAUCACGACGGGCCCUCUCAGCGGCAGCUUGAAGCUCCUCGGCGUCGCGGCGGACCCUCUCAGCGACAGCUUGGAACUCCUCGUGGUCGAGGCGGGCUUUCUCGAUGACGGCUUGGAGCUUGGCCUCCGAUCACCGCGCCUCCUCCAACGCCGCCCCCUCACGCCUUUGCAGGUCCCGAAUGACCCCCUGGGCGGCAGUGACUUGCAGGGACAGGUCCCUGGUGCGCUCCCUCUCCGCGUUGAAGCGCUCCCAGAGACCCUGCUGCAGCCGAAGGAAAUCAGAUUUCCCCCGACUGCCCUCUUGGAGGGCCUGCAAAGCAACGUGCCAUUAGAAAAAAAAAAGCAAAAGGGAGGUGCUGAUCACCAACAGUAGGAGCAACAUACCUGGCUGCCAGGGAGGACGGUGUUACCCAGAACCCCCAACGCCGAAGACAGAGCCGCCUCAACGUGGGCAAGGCCGCCCUGCAUCGCCUGCCACUUGUGCCACUCAGUGGCGUCGUCCAGCGUGAAGAGAUGCCUCGGCGGGUCAUCGCGGGAUGACCAGCGAAGGACAGACCCCCUCCACGCCCUGGGAACGGAGGGAGCCGAGGCCGAGGCAGGGGCCGAUCCUGACGCUGCCGUCAAGGUCGGCACCAUUGCACUAGAAGCCGCCGAGUUUACUGACGGCCCCGGCACCUGCACGCUCGUCGCCGCCGAGGCCGCCGGCGGUAUCCCAGUGGGCCCCUCCGCCUCCGCCGCCGGAGCCACUCCCGCGGGGGUAAUUGGGGCGGAGGCCCCCGCCUCCGUCACCGUUGCCUCCGCCGCCGCGCUUUCGGGGGCAGGCGUUCCCUCCGCCACCGAUCCCGCCGCGGCUGCGGGGGCAUCCGCCCUACCUCCCGUCGCCGCCGUCUCCUCUGCCUCGUCGGCGUCGAAGUCGAUCACCUUCCCGGCCUGAGAACCCGGGGGGAUCGUGCCCUGCGCUGUAGGGGCGACUGGGGGGACCGAAGGCGGAGUAGGGUCCGCUCCCCCUCCCACGGCUGACACCGCCGUCGCUCCGCCGGCCGCCACCACAGGGGCCGCCUCCGCGGAGGGGUCCGCGGCCUCACCAGGGACCCCGCCGCUCGCCGCGGGCGGGACCGCGGUCCGCCCCCCAGAGGAGGUUGACAACCGCAACGCCUUCUUAGGCACCAGCUGCAGGGCAAGGCCACGAGGGGCGGCGCUGCAUAUCGACAAACAGACGUCAGCACAAACGAGCGUGAGAAGAGGAGAGGAACGAGGCGCAAGGAAGGCCAACUUACGUCCUUGAAGCACAAGGGCGGCGCGCGCGCUUCGACUCAGAGCCCGACGCCGACCCCGGGGCAUCUGGCAGCGGCCGCUUGUCGCCACUUCGCUGCUCUCCAGUCGCGGGCACGGCGGUGGAGGCAGUCUCUGCAGAUCUCCGAGGAGCACCCUGAGCGGACUCCUGGGGAGCGCCCCGCGCCGGCUCUGAAGUGGCGGCGGGGGCAGGCUCCGAGGACCCCCGAGGGGCGCUCCGCGCCAGCUUUGGGAAGGAGCCCCGUGUCGACCCCUGGGGGGCACCCUUCACCGACCCCUGGGGAGCGUCCCGCGCCCGCUCCUGGGAGGCACCCCGCGCCGGCCCCUGGGGGGCGUUCCGCGUCGACUCCUGGGGGGCGUCUCGUGCCGGCUCCGAAGCGGCGGCGGGGGCAGGCUCCGAAGACCCCCGAGGGGCGCUCCGUAUCGACCCCUGGGGGGCACCCCUUGCCGACCCCUGGGGAGCGUCCCGCGCUCGCUCUUGGGACACGCCCCGCGUCGGCCCCUGGGGGGCGUCCCGCGUCGUCUCCUGGGGACACGCUGUACUGGCCCCUGGGGCGCAGCCCCAGGGCCUGGUGGAGCCGAAGCCCGGGCGGGCGCCUCCUCCACUUCACCUCCCGCGGCCGUCCGCGGGGGUGCCUCACGAAUGGCGAGGGCGCCCGAUCGGAAGGAGGAAAUCAGCUCCUCCUCAUCAUCAUCUUCCUCAUCUUCAUCCUCUUCAUCAUCGUCGUCAUCAUCGUCGUCGUCGUCAUCGAACACGACCGACCCCCUCCGCCGCCGUUGGAACUCCUUAGCGGCCUUCUUCCUCUUCUUCGCCAUCUCGAUGUCCUUCCGGCGCUUCUGCGCCUCGGCGAGGAGACGGUUGUGCGUCCGCCGCUCAACAUCUUCCGGCACCGGCGGGAGCGAGUGCGCGACCCGGGUUAGCGGACCCUACAAACGCAAAGCAGCUCCACGUCAGAGUGACAAUCGCAAGACACGAAGAAAGGAGGAGGACGCCCCAACUCCUUACCAGAUCUAUGAGCCCGCAUCCGGGCGCAUCGGCGGGUGCCCGGGAAUCGGGUACUCGACGUCCUUGUCCUCCAGCGCCUCCCGAAUCCGUUGCCGGAUCUCGGAAGCGACGAGCGCACCCGUCGCCAAGGCGGUGCCCUCGGUCGGCGCGUCGGGGGUCAUGGCGGCAAGCGGUCGGAUUCAGAGCAUCAGUGGCGCCACCCGUCGGGUGUGGUACGCUCCGAUGACCCCGGCGCCGGUGAGCCCGUCCCGCUUCAGCCGCUCGAUGGCCUGCAGCAGGUCGAAGAACCGCUUCUUGUCCUUCUCCACUGGCCCGUACGCCCACACCUCCGGCGCCGCGUCGAUGGUACGGCCGGUGAAAGCCGGCAGGGGGGAGUUCGGGUAGUUCUUCACAUAGAACCACUGGUUGUGCCACCCCUUGUGGGACGCCGAGGUCUUCAUCGUCAUGUUCUCCUUGGAGCGGGUAUGACGAAGGUGGAUCCCGGCGCACCCGAUCGGCACCGGAGGUGACCGCUGCUGGCUCCCUCGCUUCUCCGUCUUCUGGUACAGGCUCACUGUGAAAAAGUAUUUCCACAGCGAGAAGUGGGGCUCAAUGCCUAGGAAUCCCUCGCACAGGGCGACGAACGCCGCAAUGUGCUGGAUCCCAUUGGGUUUGAGGUGCUGGAGCUCGAGCCCAUAGUAGUGGAGGAGCCCCCGAAAGAAGCGGCUCGAGGGAGAGGCGAACCCCCGCUCAUGGAAGUGAGCGAAGGAGACGAUGUAGCCAGAGAGAGGCUCCGGCACCUGCUCCGGGCCCGACAGCAACCACUCAGCCGCCUCCGUCUUCUCGCAGAGGAGGCCUUUUCGCACCAGGCCCUCGGCGCGCGAGGAGGUGAAAUGGGAGAUCCCCCAGGAACCCAUCGCCGGAGGAGGGAGAUCAACGGAGGUGAGAAGAAAGGGCACGGCUUGGAGCAAAGGAAACGAAGCGGGCACGGACAAACUGAACGCUAGGCUGGAGGGCGGAAAGGCUCGAAUGCAGAAGGCGGGCGGAACCGGCGCGGCGGGCUCCCGUUUUUAUAGGAAAGGUACGGGAGAAGCCAAAUCGACGCCCCGGCCGCCAUAAAUGCGGCGCCAGGUACGCCCCUGCCACGCCCGUUUCCUUUUCGAAAACCGCGCGCACGGCCGGCCGCGAAAACAUCCUAUCCUCCUCGAUUCGCGGGAUGGCGCUUCCCAUAACUCCACCUCCCGGAAGGCACGACGUCCCCCACGUUCGGCCCAGACGUCACGACCGCUCCGUUCUGGCCCAAGGCCCACCGAAAGGUAAGAAAGGGAUACGGGGCUGAAAACGCCCCUACGGCCCAUUACGGUCCAGAGGUUCGAAGGCUGGCCCACCGCGGGAUCGACAGCUGCCUCAGGAUAUCUCCCGAGCAAGGGGUGAGAAGGGACGGGUCCACUAGCGGCCAACACCCAGGCAAGCGAAAGCCAAGGGCGUCCCGACCUCACGUUCGAGUCCCGUCCGGUAUAAAGUUCAUGGUUUUUCCACGGGGAAAGGCAACGAGCCCCCGGAUUCGGCCGAACGGACCCGGGAACUAUAUGAACUGGCCGGCGGGAAAUUGUAGUACGCCACCAGCUUGGCCCGAGCCGGACCCCCCCGAACGGGGACCGGGACUCCACUCGAACCUACCUGUUCGCAGCUCAAAGCGAGCACCACGGUUCGUCCAACUAGGAUAACGUGGCACGGCUCAACCCCUCCGUCCUAGCGAACGGACGCUUGAGGGGCAACGACCAAAAGUCGACCUGGCCUCCCGACCGGUCUCCCGCAACGAGCAGGGGCUCGGGGGCUAGCAUCGCAACCAACGACCAUGCGUAUGGUCACGAUUCCCAGGCUCCCCGGCCAAACCGGGAUGAAGCAAGCGCACCAUAAACAAAAUCCACGGAGAAACGGCGAAAGAAGCCUCCGGAGGAGCACUUUUUGCUCCACCACAGGCUCGGGGGCUACUGUUGGGGGGAAAUAUUAACGAUCCCCUAAAUACCGCUUAAAGGAGCAGACGCGAAGGCCCGGGCCCACCUAAGCAUAAUCAAAACUCCGCCUCGCCCGACCGCGGCCUCAGGGUCAGGAACGCCCGACUCCCCUCCACGAGGUUUCCGCCUCGUCCGACUACGGCCCCAGGGUCGGAGGCGCCCGACCCCUCGCCACAAGGUUCCGCCUCGUCCGACCCCAAGCGCAAGGGUCGGGCUCGCUGGGGCCCCCAGGGCAGGCAUCCCCCUCGGAUGCGGACCAGGUGGGCAAGGUAAACAAAUGCUGCGGGUCCCUCCCCCGUCGGGCUCAUCAUAAAUGCGCCGCAGGCCUGGCAGAGGGAGGAAUGACCGUGCUCCUCACACAACCCGCCGCAAGUACCCAUGCACGACCAUACUCUACAAGCUACAGCGCUGGCGGCUCACUCCCAUUCGCCGCAGGGUACUCAUGGCCUGCGCCGACCGGAGCGGAGGAGAGACUCGCCUGUCCUCGGGCCCCGCGCACCCUCGGGUCCCGUGCGCCUGGCAGCUAGGAUGUGACGCCCUCUCUCCAGGAGCCAUCAUCAGAACGGCAGCAUCCACCGUCCUCCCCAACGGACACCGGGAUAACGACGAAACGCCCUCAUCAUAACCCGACGCCGACGGAUGCCGAAGGAGCUAUCUGUAGGGUGCGACGACAGUUGGCGCACGGCCGCCUCCCCCUCCGGCAUGCACGCCGGCGCUCGCCAGGAGCCGGCGGAGGCGUCGGGCGUCUAGGAACUUGUUCCUCCCAUCCUGCCGUAUUUUUUACCGUACUACGUUCACAUUUUACGGUCCUCUUCGCCCGAUCCCAACUGUAACUCUGGCCACUCCCCUUGCGAUAUAAAAGGAGGAAGACAGGGCCGGAGGGGGGAUCGGCUUCUUCCCCCUCAAGCCACAGCACGCUAGUACGCUCCCUGAGAACAUAGGCACAAAGAGACUUGGGACCAGUCCCUCUCUCGUCGGUCUGUAACCCCUACUACAGAACUCCGCGUGGGUAAUACGAGCAUUCACGAUACUGGACGUAGGGCUCCCUUUGCCCGAACCAGUCUAAUUCGUGUCUCCCACGCCACCAUCUGAGGCCUUACGCGCAUAAAAGAAAUUUACUAGUCUAAGUCUUGAUCCGCCAAUCUUGACAACGACAAAUCUAAAAAUCCAUAACUAAUUAAUUUUAAAUCAUAAAAGUUUGAAACUAUUACCCAUCAUCUUUUUCUAGAAUGUUACCUUUUAUGUUGGUUUUUUUGAGUUAUUUGCAUAUUAUUGUCCCCAUCUCUAGUGUUUUAUUGCUUGUAGUCAAACCUACUAUUUAUUUAUUGUUGUUUUGCAUUGUAUGAUUAUUGGAUGCUAUGCGAUACAAAGAUAAUUGUUCAACAACCAUAUGCAUCAUGAAGAAAUUUCCGGAUACGAUUGAUAUUAGUACAUUAUUAACUUCUUAUCAAGAAAUAUCAAUGAAGUGUUUUAUAUGAAUAUUUUUAAUGCACCUUGAGUUUUUGGAUAACCUUUUUCAUAAAAGUUAAUUAGAUGCAUUCUUAACUAAAUAAGCCAUUUGGUAAUUUUUCAAAAAUGUUUAUUUAGGUAACAGAAAAUUUAUUUAUUUAUUCUGGAAAAAGUUUUUUUUUAACGAAGUUAGCAAGGAAAGCACCUACCUAUUCUUUAAUUGUUAUUUUAGAUCCGUUUAAUUCGCUCCCACGAGAAGUUGAAUAUAGACCUGCAGGAUGUUACUCAGGUGCUCUAACCACUAGACUAGAGUCCCUUUCGCUUCUGAAAAAGGUUUUACAAAAAUCUUUUCCCUAUUAUCUUUUGUUAAGUCUGGGAUGUUGCCGCACGUGGGAAAGAAAGAACGGGAAACAUAGACCGAGACCGCUGCUGCGCCGCCACCAUGCUUCGCCGUUGGAGGGUUAGGGUUCGGGGUUUCGGGUUAUGGGUCAUCGAUGGCGCGGCUAUCUCCGAUGUGGCUGGGAUAUAUGGGAGGUUGACGGUGGCUAGGUAGCAGGCGGUGGUGGCGGGUUGUGUGCGGGAUGGCGGGACACCACCAGUUCCGAUUUGUGGAAGACAAUAGGUGGCCUCUAGAGGCAGCGGGGGAAUCUUGGUGAGCUUCCCGCGCGGGGCUGGGUUAGGGCGGCGAAGGAUGGUGGCGGUGGAUGUGGCAGCGCGAGCCGCCGGAGAUGAUGGAGGAUGGCGGCGCGGGCGCGAGCAAAGGAGGACAGUGCGAUGGUGAUCGAGGGUUGCGACCGGCGACGCCGGAUGCAGUGGCGAGAGCCGUCGGAGCUAGAGGAGGAGGGCAGCGCGGGGGCAUGGGCGUGCGCGCUCCUGGGCUGCCAUCACUGAAGGUGACAUUGGUGAUUUUUGUCACCUUCUGUGAUAUAUAGAUAUAGACAUGCUCUAGAUAGAGGACUCCUUGGAGAGACCCCGAGAAUGGAGAUGGGCAUUUGGAGCUCUUCCAAAAUAAGGAAUCUAGAGGACUUGCUAGAAUGCAUUUUUUUUGACUUGGUCCAUUGGAGUUGUUCUAAGCCAACAACUAUUAGCAUCCUUUUAGAUAACUCUGUUAAUCUGAAAUACAACAGUUUCCUACUUUAUGUAUAAUGAGUGUCAUUGCGUCACUACGUACGAGGUCUACUUUAUGGCGGAUCUGAAGGUGUGUUUGGUUGGGAUGUGGCUUUUGGAAAAGCUACUGUGAGCUGUGGGCUGUGAAAAAGUAGCGGGGAGAAAGCAGCUGUGGGAAAAGCAGAAGACCGUUUGGUUAGAGCAGCUACGAAACUGUAGGUUGUGUAAGAAAUACCUGUAAUGCCCCUAAAGGUCUGCGGGUGUGUUUACAUGCAAAUUGCUCAUAACAAAAUAAUGUGUUCACUAAUUCACAUGUAAAUGACUAUUUUAGAAAGGAAAAAAAAUAAAUUUUAUAUGUUCUUCAUCCAUAUAAGUGAUUGGUCCACAUAAAUAGAACAAUAUCCAUCAAAAGGUUUAUACAAUGAUGUCAUCUCUCAACAUUACUGUCCUCCUCUCGCACUAACCAAAGCAUCAACUAUCCUAGCAUGAAUGAUAUUCAUGGUAUCCUCAUUCUCCAUAUCGUCACUCUCAUCUCCUUGUGUUUGUCUCGUGCCACUUGUAUAUUGUACCAAGUACUCCUACAAAACCGAGUUAGUAAGGUACAUAAUAAUACACGUAUUUCUAACUUGAUGAAGGAAUCAUGUAUACCUUUAGGAGGCACGAGAAAUAUGUCUCAAAGCAUUGUCGAGAAAAUUGAAAGAAAAGAUGAUGAACAAAGGAGGGUCAAUUCUUGUUGCUCUUUGGACUAGAGGAUUGACGAUGAUCAUUGCAGUCCUAACAAUUCUCUUGUUGCAGAACAGAGUAGCAACUUCUGAGUAGCAUAUGAUUCUUACAUCUUCCAGGCGAGGUGGCUAGUGUGCUGGAUGAAGUUGAGGUCCCUUGGCAACCUGGCAAACGCCUCCGUCAUGUCUGCAGGCAAAAUUUCCAAAAAAAACAAGAAGAUUUCAACACCACCAACAAAGCAAGCAUGUAAUCACCUGAUUAAUCAAUCAGCAAACAAUUCACAACUAGCAAUCUGUAGAAAUUAGCACGCCAUUACCGUCCUGGGUGAUGAGCGGGUAGUCGGAUGCGUUGAGGUUGACGAACCAGUCCCAGCGGCGGUGAAGGCGGAGCAGCAACGCGACGGCGUGCAGCGUGGUGGUGAGCAUGGUGGGGCCCCGGUAGGUGACGAGGUUGGGCCUGCCGACGAUCCACACGUUGCCCGCGAUCGCGUACACACCCCACCUGGACAUGAGCUCUGCCAGCCGGCAGUGCUCCUCCCCUGGACCGCAGGUAGUUGUUGGCCGGGUGGUACAGUGCCGCCAGCAGCCGCAUCGUGCGGCCCACUUCCCCUGAGGAUGCCGAGAUAAGGUAUGCGAACGAGAUCGGGUACCGCGGCGCCUCGCCGGCGGCACCGUCGAAGGCGGCCAACGAUGAGAGUGUUGACGUCGGUUUUUGACACGUGUCAGGGUCGACGUCAAGAGGAGAAGAAAGUGGCUGAUGCGGUUAAACAAGAAGCUAUGGCUAGAGAAAUCAGUCAGUAAAGCUAUAGUGUUUCAGCCGAUUAGCUAAUGAGAUAGAUGAAGACUGGCCGAUUGGAAGCUAGAAAAGCUCGGCCGAUAUGGGCCUAAAUGGGCCAAGGUGGUAACAAGAUGAAGAUAGGAUUGGCCCAUAGAGGAUUGGAUGGUGUUCGACUCCGAUACAAGUUGUAUCCGUAUGUAAAUAUUUGUUGCUUUGAAUAAGAAAUAGAAUAUUGAGUCAUAGUCGGUUAGGAAACGAGUUGUAACAGGGUAUAAAUAGGUGCCCCGUGAGGCUGGCAAAAACAUCAACAAACAUCAAUACAAAUCUACUUUUUCAUGCAACUUUACUUUCAUGUCGGCGACUUUGCCAAACCCUUUUCUUUUCACGAGUUCGUGUGAGUUGGCAGGGCUGCAUCAACGUGAUCUCCGAGCAAUUUGUAAGUUCCGCGUUUCGAGUAAUAUAUAAGCUUUAACUUUGGGCGUAUCGCUGUUGUUUUGUUUAGAUUUAUUCACUAGUUAUCGAUAUUUGCUAGAAUUAUAGGUUUUAUUCUCCGGUGGAAAGAUUGUGCCUUUGCCUGUAUUUCUCUUGCACUAAACUCAGGCGAUACCUAUUAUCGGCGGAAUGUGUGGUCGCGUGUAAAGUUGAUGUUGUCAAGUAUAUGUUAUCACUGCCGAUCUUGAAGGGAAGGAUUGGAAAAUGUAUUCUGGCACUCUCAGAAUUCGAUCUCAGGUACGAAUCGGCCAAGGCCGUCAAGGGUCAGGUAAGGCUGAUUUCGUCACCCAACACUGUGGAUCAGAAAUUACUGUCGUUGAGCCGGCUCCAUGGACUCUGUACUUCGAUGGAUAUUCGUGUGGGAUUGGAUCAGGAAUCGACAUAAUUCUUAUAUCGCCUCGGGGGGCAAGUUAUGAGUUCUCUCUGCCGAUUGAGGCUUCCGCUACUAAUAAUCAAGCAGAAAAUCGGGCUGUCUUAAAGGGCAUCCAAUUAUUGAGGGAGGUCAAGGCUGACGUGGUAGAAAUAUUUGGGGAUUCCAUGAUUAUCGUGGAUCAGUUGAUUGCAAAGUGUGAGUGCAAGGAUGAUAUUCUAAGGAUUUAUUAUGAGGAAUGCCUCCGGUUGCUCAAAGAAUUCAAGACCGUAACUAUUGAACAUAUCCCUAGGGAUUACAAUGAGGAAGCCAAUAGACUUGCCCAGCACGCUUCUGGCUACUGGCCGAUUCAUGGCGCUUUCGCUCUAGAGCUGGCGGCCGACAACUGGAGGAAGGAGAUCGCCGAUUAUUUAAAGGAUCCAUCCAAGAAAGUUGAUCGGCAGAUACGCUUCCAAGCCACAAAGUAUGUGUUACUUGAAGAUGAAUUGUUUUAUCGGACGAUUGAUGGAGUGUUUCUCAAGUGCCUUAGCAUUGAGGAAGCAAAGAUUUUGAUGGGUGAGAUUCAUGAAGGUCUAUGUGGGACCCAUCAAUCGGCUUUCAAGAUGAAGUCGAUGAUUAGAAACAAUGGGUAUUACUAGCUGACAGUACUUGAAGAUUGUUUCAAAUAUUAUAAAGGCUGUCAGGAUUGUCAAAAAUUUGGCAACGUGCAACGAGCCCCGGCCUCGGCUAUGAACCCGAUAUUAAAGCUGUGGCCAUUUAGAGGCUGGGUAAUUGAUCUCAUCGGUUAGAUCUAUCUGCCGUCAAGCAAAGGGCAUAAGUUCAUAUUGGUGGCGAUUGACUACUUCACCAAGUGGGUUGAGGCGGUUCCUUUGAAUGUUGUGAUGUCGGCCAACAUGAUCGAAUUCAUGAAGGAGCACAUCAUUUAUCGAUUUGGUAUUCCUCAGACCAUCAUGAUUGAUCAGGGGUCAAUGUUUACCUCAGGGAGUUCGAGGAGUUCACUGCCAGUAUGGGAUUAAGCUGUUGAAUUCUUCUCCGUAUUACGCUCAGGCCAAUGGUGUGACGACCCCGGUUAAAUCUUUCGAGUUAAUCUUAAUACGAGCCCCAAAAUUCCUCUGUCUCAGUUUUUCCCGAGCAGGAGUGCUCCACUCCAGUUCCUGUUCCUGACCCGUGAAGACUCUAACUCACCCCGCCAGUUCCUUUUAAGUCUCAACAACAGUGUCCCUUUCAAUCUUGAACAGAGGAAAGACCGAGACUGACGGAUGGACCCGCAAUCUUUUCCCCGGAUCUCCCGAGGCAUACGCACUCGAGCGGCCUGCACCGCUUCAGAGCUCCCCCGCCGCGUGGCUCAACUUCUCCGACGCCCGCCGCUUCACCCAAUCGCCGGCCGGGACAGGAUAGAUUCUCACGCCCUCCUCCCCAAUCGCAGCGGAAGCCCCUCUGCAACCCUUUCUGCUGCGCCUCGUCUCGCUCGCGCCCUCGCCGGCCGCGCCUUGGUGCUCCGACACCGCUGUGGCAGAGCUUUGCCGCUUGCUGCAUCCAAACUACCUCGCAGCUCACGCCCGUCAUCAUCUCACUGGAUCCCCGACUGCAAGGCCCGAUGCCUUCCGACUUUUCCACCGCCUCUACACAGUCGCGCUCGCCUGCGCAGCCGCAGCCUGCCUAUCUUUUCACCGGUUGCAACCUCGCUUGUAGCGCCGUUCUCCCUGUCACACCCAUCAGAUCCGCCGCAUGACGACGCCCGCCUCCGCCAAACCUCAACUACCGGCAAAACCGCGCCUGCGCCGCCUUGUCUCCCGUGCCCAAUAGCCAAGGACCCUAUCUCCGAAAUCCUGUUCCGCCGCCCAUCGACGCCCAGUCGCCGCCAUGGCAGCGCACUCCAUCCUUUUCUUCCGGUCUUCGUGCUACUCCAACUCCCUCUCUCUUUCGCGCAGCUAUAAAAAGGAAUGCCAGAGCCCUACUGGAGAUCCCUUCACCAUCGUUGCCUCGCCGCCUUGUUCCUGAGCGCCGCCACCUAAGUUCUUGAGGAACUCUCAUCUUCGCUCAACACCCGCCCCUCCCAAUCCACCAAGCCGCCUGCUCCUCCACGCUAUGCUAGAGCUUCCUUGUUGCUCACAAGAAGCUCCGCCGCCGCCGGAGCACCGCCGGACAUAGCCGCCACCAAAGCCUUAGUGCUUAAGACCUUCCGCCCAAGUCUACUCCUUCCCGACCCCAAAGCUUCACCUAUAAACCAAAGGUAAGCUGCCGACCCCUUACCGGUUCGCCCGACCCUACCUGUUCGCCUGACCCUACCUGUUCGCCCGACCCCUCUUUCCAUCUCGCCCGACCCUGUCUGUUAGCCGGCCCUUAUCUUCUUCGCCCGAGGACUCGGCUGUACUCUUUUCCUUGACCCGAGGGUAUCUGUGUAAGAUUUCGGGGACUUCUCUGUAAUAGCUUUGAGGACCCCAAACACAUUAAGGCUUAUGGGUCAGAUCAUAAGUUCUUCCAAUUCGACCCUUGGUCUUGUUCUCUAUCCACUGAAGCUUGAACCCCCACACUCUUUCCGUAGCUUUGCUACAAGUUUCUGGGCUAAGACUUGCGAGUGUUGCUGUUGAAAUAACCGUCUAGACACUAACUCCAGCAUUGCAUUCGUGUAGAGUUUCAUCUUGCUGACGGCGUCUACGAACUACACCCGGUGCCAGAAGACGGAGCUGUAGCUGAGCUACCAGUUCCAGAAGCCGAAGUCGCACCAGCUGAAGACCCGCUUCCCUCCCCUCCACUUGAAGGCAAGUCCCGGAGCAUGAACCCCAAAGUUUCCCAAACUUGCGCAUGCCUUCUUUCUCAUGUUUGUGCAUUUACGUAUAGGAGUUGUUUGCAACCUUAGAUGCAUGGUAUAGUUCCUUGAUCGGAACACUAGUUGUUGAAUCGAGUAGUUGCUAUGCUUAAAUAGGAAGUGGUAAAAGUCGAGUGAUUUCCUGUCACUCGCGAGUUAUAGGAGUUGGUUGUUCUCCUUCUGUUACAACUAUAAGGACGAUGGAUGGGGCAAGGUUUUGGUUAACUCUUUUGCUAGUCGGCUGAUCCCCCCGUCUGUCUAUGGAAUCUGUUAAGGCCCGAUAGUGGUGGUGUUCGUGAUCAAGUGUUUGAAAGUACUAAUCUCAUACCUAGUAUGGGAUGGGGAAGCCUAGUACCUGAUUGAACUAGGGCGUGGCUUAUACCCCUGCUGUCCCUGGAACGAGGUUCCCAUGGUGCAUCAUGUGGGUGCAAGUGCGGUCACAGUACGGUAGAGGCCGGGAUUGUGGAGCAUUGCAUGCCAAGGGAAGUUGGACCUGACACGUGCCUGGGAAUUGAUGGGGACGGCUGACACAGGAAGCGACCCUUGUGGUGCGCGGAUGUCGUGAGAUUAGGUUUGCCAUGCAUGGUUAAGAAACUCGAAGGAUUCGUCUGCCUCUCACAGUUUGAGACUGCUUGAUCGCUAUGCUACACUGAUUAAUGAAAGAGUCUGAUGAUGACAUGGUCUUGAUGAGUAGCUUAUAUACAUAAAGUUGGAUCUAUGUUUGCUUAGAGUAAGAUGCCAACGUAGACUGGUUAAUGAACUUAGAAUUUGAGCUAAAACUUGAAAGCAAGGACCUAACGUAGUAGCUUUUGGCAAACAAAACCCCUCAGCCAAAGAGCCUUGCAUGUCUAGACGUGGUGGAGUAGUUUUACCACCGGUCGGUUAAGUCUUGCUGAGCGUAGCAGCUCAACCUUGUUUGUGGCUUUCUUUUCAGGUGAAGUCGCAGCUCCUGAGUUUGCUUCCGUUGGCACUUGGCCGCCCCAGCUCCCUCCGGGUUGGACGGUUGAGUGGGAUCCUUCCUCGGACGGUGAGGAGAGGGAUCAUUGAUGUCCUGAUCGGCCUCAUUAGGGACAUCCGACCCUGGCGCUAGCUUCCGCUAAUUUAGCUUUCCGCUGCUUUUGAAUCUUGUAAAACUCUGAUUUUUGUUUUUAUGUUGAACUAAAUUGUCAAACUUGUUUAACUCAGUGGAUCUGUUGUAUUCUCUGAAACCGCUCACCUUCGUGUGAGUUUCGCUAAUCCGGUCCUGUAAGUGGUUUAAUCGGAGGAAAUCCGACGGCCCUUCGAGUUAACUUGACUAAGGCAUAAGUGUCGCGUGUCAGGCGACUUAACAAUGCUUUAAUCAAGGUAAUCCGAGGUGGUUCCACCACAAAUGGUCAGGCCAAGUCAUCAAAUAAGGGGGUUAUUAAACUGAUUAAAAGGAAGGUCAAAAAACAACCAAGACGGUGGCAUACAACGCCGAAUGAGUCCUUAUGGGCUUAUCGGAUGGCUUGCCGCGGUGCCACCAAGGUGUCCCCUUAUCAGUUAGUAUAUGUGCAUGAAGCAGUAUUACCUUGGGAGUUGAAGACUGGGUCUAGACGUGUGUCACUUCAGAAUCAGUUGUCGGUUGAUGACUAUUCCGCCCUCAUGAGGGGAGAAUUGGAAGAUUUGGCGAAUCAACAGCUAAGGGCUUUGAUCAGCAUUGAGGAAAAUAAGAAAAGAGUCACCAGGUGGUAUGACAAGAAGGUCAAGGUCAAAAGGUUUUCCCAAGGGGAUUUAGUCUGGAAGUUGGUUCUGCUGAUAGUAUGGAAAAUGGUCGCCCACUUGGGAAAGGCCAUAACGGAUUAGCCAAUGUGCUCUAGGCAAUGCAUACAUACUGGAGACUUUUGAGGAAGAAGAAUUUACAAGGGCCUUGAAUGGAAGAUAUUUGAAAAGAUACUACCCUAGUAUAUGUGUAGGCGCUUAGCCGAUGAUGUGGCAUAACGGGCUUUCACGGUCGACGCGUACUGAUUCGUGUUCAUAUAGCCGAUGCAAGGGGCAUCGCCUUAAGAUUGAAAGAGGCGAAAUAGUGUAUAUAUAACUAAACCGAUCAUUAUUCGGUACACCAACUAAAUAUAUGGCCGGCAUGAUACAAGUCGCCCUUAGAUAAAAAGUACCGACACAGUUAUGGGUUACAACGAUUUAACAACGUUUCAUGUGAGCUUUAUUCAUAUCGAUUUCUUUCUGAAGUCGAUCCAAUUCGAUCUGGAGUCGGGCGUUCUUCUCCUCUAGUUCUGCCAUGUCAUCUUCAACAGCAACUUGACAGGGUAACAGAUGGCUUCUUUCGACUGAUUGCCGUGGUUGCCUUCUAGAAGCUUUAGCCUCGAUGUCAUCCACAAUCCUCUUGAUAUUCACGGGGAGGUGAUCUCUGAGUUCCUCACGAUGAGUUUGGAUCAGGUCUUUGUCAGCCUGAGUGAGCGGUUCAUCGGAGUGGAGGAUCUCAAUGGCUCGUUCAAGAUCACGGCUGAGUCGGUUUGGCUACGAGAAGAAUUGAUGAUCAAUUGACAGAGGGAUUGGUCGAGAGAUAGGAGAUUGACUUCGUACCUGAUUGACAGAGGAGGAGGAGGCCAUCUUGGUCGCUCGAUCGAAGAUUUGUAAGCGCGCGCAAGGAAUGGUUGAGUGGGUGUUUUGCGAAUGCCUUCAGAAGGGAUGCGAAGGGUUUGUACUUAUAGAACAGAAUGGCAAUGGACAAAGGUCGGUAAAAGGAGGGCAUUUAAAGAAAGCGACCGUUGAGUCAUAAAAGCUACGUGAGGACUGUUCAGACUUGCAUUUCAGACAAAAACGCCAAAAGUAUCAACGUUACACAAGAUGUUCAAAGGCUGGUUGAGUUCGUUACAACUAUCCGAGGAGAUUGUUUAUGGUCUCAAUCGCUCGCAGGCGAACUUGGUUGGCCACCUCCAACACUCGCCGAUCAUCAUCGGCUGAUCCUAAGACUUCUGGCGCAUUGCGAUGAAGAUGGAUGGCCUCGUGAGUGAGGGAUUGUCUUUCUUGUUUAAAAUCAACGAUGGCGGUUGGAAGAUCUUCAAGUUUCUUUUCUUCGGUAGCGAUAGCCUUUACGACCAGUUCCAUCUCCUUGGUGAGCUCUGCUCUGCGCCAUUUGAGUUGGUCUAUUUCACUGAUGAUGCUUGGAUGAGAAGUCUCAUGGAGACCGAUCUACCGAUGUACGUGUUGUGCACGGUGCUUGUAGGACUCUUCUUCUUGACGCACCAUCUCCAAUUUAGCACGGUCAGCCAUGUGUCGCAAGGCUCUAAACACCGGGACCCGCAUGGUUUCGAUAUAUGCUGCGGGUGUGAGAACCUCUUCUGCGUCUUCUGGGACUUGGCCUUUGAUCUCGUUGAAAAUCCACCGUAUCAGUUUGGCAUCUUCCACCAAUCGACCGAUGUUUUCCUGAAGAAGGGUUCGCAUGUUUUGGAGCUUGGCACGGACAUCUUCUGGUAUUGAGCUCAGAGUUAUUUGGCGUGAUGCAACUUCUUCGUCAUCAGAGACCGCAAUUGCAGAGGAGAAGAGGCUUUUGUUUGGCGUGUCUUACUCCUGCAGGGAUGUGGGAAAGUGUUUUAGCCGAUAAAAGUAAAAAAUCGGCUGGUAGAUAUAGAAGGUUCUUACCUCCUUCAAACAAAUCUCUUCUGCUUGGGUUGGCAGAGUCGUUACUCCCACCUCAGAAGUUUGCGGAGGUAGCUCAUUAGAGGGGGAAGACUUGACAAUGAUCGGCUCUCUAGGCGUAGCUGAUAAUGUGCUUGGACCAGCCUCCUGGAAAAGGAACAAAGGAAUCAUUUUUGAGUAUAAAAUAAUACUGGAUCUAAGUAGAAGUCUCGGUUUUCUUACCUCUCGGACGCGCGCAGCCAACGGUAGCACCAGGGGAAUGACUGACGUAUCUGGAGCGUCCUGUGUCAAGAAUCGUCUGAUUUUAGUUAUCAGAACUGUGGAGACUAAGGGAAGAGCAUGUUCUUUACCUCAAUUUGAAGAUUUGUAGGUAACACAAUUUUAGCUUGAGAAUCGGCCAAUUAAGGAACAGUCUGCUCUAGGAUAGGUUGUACGGCCUGUUGAAAAGAAACAAAUUUAGUAUUGGUGAUACAUAUGAAGAAGUCAGAGCAGAAAGAUUACUCGUGUAGCUUUCACCAAGAGUAACACAAUCGCCGACCCAGCCUCUGAUGCUGCUAGGGGAUCAAUGUCCUGAAUUGCCGACAAUACAUCUGCUUGGAUUGGUGCGGCUGAGGGCUCGACCGAUGUUGCUGCCGAUUGGUGGGUUGUUCGAGUUGUCGUAGAUUCAGUACGAGCUCAUACCCUGCGACUCGUCUUCUUUGUGGUGGAUAUUUUGAGCUUAUGCUUCAAUCGGUUGGUGGCUAUGUCCUCCAUUGAUGGGGCGUGAUAGCCGAUGAGAGGGUACGGUGUGUACGGAUGAUGGGUCUGUAUCAGUCUGCCACUCUAACUGUGCGUUGGAGGCACUUGGCUAUCAACCUGUGCAGGGUAAAAGGAUAAUGAUAAGAAAGUUCUGCAACAUGUGAAAAUUAUUGGUAAGGAAUCGACAAAAAAGUAUUGUUACCUCUGCAUUCGGAUCAGUGUGAGCGGGGUCCAGUUGAUUGCAAUACACUGCAGGGGCCGCACAGGAAAGGUACUGUUUCCACUCGGCCCACCACAAUUUGAAUUGUUGAGUGGAGAAGGGGACCACCAGCCAAGCGCUCAGAUCGAUGGUGUCGGAAUCCGGUGUCAGAUUACACAAUCUGUUGUAUUCCAGUCCUUUUGAAAUCGGUUCUCAAAAUUUCACUCGGCCGACGAAGUGAAUCCGAUUGGUAUUUGUCCCAAGCCAAAUUGCCGAGCUGCUACCGACGGGUUAUAGAACUCAUAUGUUGGAGAGUCCUUGCCAGAGAAGAAAUUUGCCGGUAGAAUCCCAGGUUGAUCAGGGUGUCCAUGAUUCCUUCAUCGAAGGUAUCGGUAGCCUAGUCAAAACAGUCAGGAUUCUAAAAAGUUGGGUUCUCUCUCUGAUAUGGAUACCAAUUCGUCACCUCUUCUUUAAAGCUGUUGUAAAAGCAUCUAAAGUGCUCGGCUAUUCUUGAGGGGGCAAGCUUGCCGCCUGGGAAAGUGGAUACGGCUUCACUAAAGGAAGUACAGCGGCGUCUGGCCAAUGGGUCGGUUUCUGAUUUAACAUUAGGAAAGUCUUGGUCUCAAUCCGCUCCUUGAAGAUUUCGCUCAUAUAUAAGUUGAGCUAGAGAUUGACAAACCACCAAGGACCACCAGGAUUCCUGAUAGGUUCUCCAGAUGAUAGCUUCACGCCGAUGUGAUGCAGCAUGUAAUACACUGACCCUAGUAGAUGCUUUCCCAAAGGGACUGUGGCUCCUCUAACUAGUGCUUCGGCCAAAGCCUGUGUGUUGGAAGUAGGACUGGCUAAUUUACCACAGAAGACAUACCUUUCCUGCCACAUCAUCAAGAAGGUCGUGUGCUCUUUUUCUGUGUUGGGUCCGGUCCUCAUGUUCUUCUCAAUGUAGCCUUUCCAUGUGCUGAUGGCUUUCGUCUCCAGCCGAUGGGUGGGUUUGAUUAAGAAAUCGAAAGGUGAGUCGGUGGAGGAAACAUCGAGGCCAGUCAGCAUCAGAACAUCGGCCAGGGUUGGAGUCAUUGGCCCAUGGUCGAAAAGAAAUGCAUUGAGAGCAUCGGACCAAAAGUAAGAUGCCGCGAUGAGCAGAGAUUCUUUCUUUUCCAUAUGAGAUAGAGAUAAAUUUCUGCAAUGGCCGAUUUUUCGCUCAUCCCAGAAGACUCUGUUGGAAUUUGACAUUCUAAAAAACCAAUCUCUCCAUCCGGGGGUUUGAUUCGGCCAAGACUUGAAAGUGUUCGCCCAAUUGUCUAGUUCCAUGGUCGAUUGCUUAAAAGGGAUCCUGUGAGUUUCUAGUUUAAUCAGAUCGGUUGGGUUAGGAUCUCCCAUAGAGCCAAGAUCGAUGAAUCCAGGGGUGUUGGCCAUGGGAUGGUGAUUCUUUGCCUGAGUUCUUGAGCAAAUGCGAAGAAAGACUAAGAACAGAUCUAAAAUCGCGAAAAGAUGAGGAGAGCCUAGAAGACUUACCUCAGGAACGAAGGUCAUGGUAGCUAUGGGUGCCACCAUUGGAGCUUGGGAGUUGGUGCGGUCGGUGAAGGACGUGAGCAAGUCACUGGAGUGCGCUGGGAUGUGCCUAGAAGUGGCACGAGCAAGGUCGCUGGGGUGUGCCGGGAGAUGAUUCGCUGGAAAGGAAACCCUUUUCGCCCGGAGGAAGAUGAAGCGGCGGAAGAGAUGAGUAUCUGCACGAUGACUCGGGAGAAGGGUAAAUAUGAAAUUUUUACCACGCCGUCUGCGCUAAUUUCGAAAGGAGCGGUUGCCUACAGGUGCUCAGUUCGAAAAAAUGCAAUCAUCAAGGAGAAGAUUUCGGGAGCAAAGAGGGUUUUGCUGCAUUUAUUGUUGCGUCUUUUCUGAAAGAAGGAAUCAGAGUUGAGAAAAUUUCGGAGAAAAAGAUAUGUUUCACUAUGAAGCUGGGAGGCAUGUGUUGAUGCCAGUUUUUAACACGUGUCAGGGUCGGUGUCAAGAGGAGAAGAAAGUGGCCAAUGCGGUUAAACAAGAGGCCAUGGCUAGAGAAAUCGGUCAGUAAAGCUAUAGUGUUCUGACCGAUUAGCUGAUGAGAUAGAUGAAGACUCACCGAUUGGAAGCCAGAACGCUGGAUUUUGACACGUACUUGAAAUCGGUGUCAAAGAAGGAGAAAGGGGGGCCGAUGCGGCGGACUAGAAGCUACAGUUGGGAAUCGGCCGAUUGAAGCUACAAUGUUUCAGCCGAUUGGCGGAAGAAAUUGGUGGAGGCUGGCCGAUUGGGAGUCAAAGCAGUUUGGCCGGUUUGGGCCUAAGGUGGGCCAGGAUGAAUAUUUGCUGAAGAGACAGGCCCGUGGGAAAAUAAUAACCAACUCGAAUACGAGUCGUGUUUGUAACUAUUUGUUGUCGUUUGAAAUUAGAGAUAGAUUCUAGUCGGUUAGGAAAUCAGUUCCAACACGCUAUAACUAGCUACCUCGAGAGGCUUGUAAAAAAAACAACACAUCAAUCAAUACAAAAAAAAUUACUCUUUCCUCGUACUUUACUUUCAAGUCGGCGACUUCGCCAAAACCUUUUUCUUUCACGAGUUCGUACGGAUUGGCAGGGCUGGAUCUACAGGAUCUCCGGCCGAUUCUGUAAGUUCCACUUAUCGAGUAAUACUAAGCUUUAACUUCGGGCGCAUCGCUGUUAUUUUGUUUAGAUUUAUUCACCAGUUAUCGAUAUCAACUAGAGUCAUAGGUUUUACCUGUUAUUUUAGUUUUUAUCACCAAUUAUCCAUCUUGAGGUACGAACUGUCGGUUUUUAUUAUUCUUAUCCUUUAUCAUCACAUAGCCGAUUAGAUCUACUCCAAGUUUUGCUUCUGUAGUGUUGUUUAGGUUGCUGUAAAAGUUUUCCUUAUGAUUGCUACAUGAGUAUCGGCUGUCUUAUAGCCGGUCAUCUCUACGGUAAAUCGGCCGAUUCGCUGAUACGCUCUUCAAGACAGAUCGGAACUCUAGCCGAUCGAAACCCCUAGAAUUUAAUAUUCUUCUUUCCAUGUCAAUCAUUAGGUCAGAUUGACUGGCAUGCCGCGCGAACCGCACUAGGGCAAUAACUCGAACAGGAGCUAAGUAGAUUCUCCUGGGUCGUGUGUCCGACGCUGAGGGUCAUCGGCCAAUUUUCAGCACCAACACACUUUUGGCAUGCCCGGUGGGACCAAACAAGAUCCAACAUGUCGAAGGCUGCUGAGAUCUUUGAAGAUAACGUCCUUGAAGUCAUUGAAGAAAAUCUCAAGGACGAUCAGAAGGAGGAACUGGCGAGGGCUAUAGAAGAAUACAGGAAGACAUGCCUGCAAUCUUUCAUUCGUACCAGAAGCGGGGAGACAGUCAAGAAAGCUCCUCUCUCCACUUCCCGCCAAAUCACCGUCAUCGAGGACUCAGGGAAGAUGUCUGAGAUGAUUCAACAGUCCGUUUAUCAGGCUAUGAUUGACCAAUCCACGGUGAUGACCAACACUGUAUACAACGCCAUCAUCAGCUCCUUGGUUAGCGGCGUAGCUCAGGGGUAUCAGGGACUAGCGUAUGCUCCUCCCAUCGUGGCACCGAUCAGAGGCUUCUUAGCAGCGCCAAACGUGUGUCACUCGACUCCUCAACUAAUGCAGAUGCAACGUGGAGGGUACUACACUUCAAUGCCCCUGGGGUACAAUGGUGCAUCAUUCUAUCAAUCGCAAGAACCGUCUCAUCCUAUGCCAAUUUCAUCCAUACAAUCGCCGCUCUCAAACUCGGCGCCAUGGGGGGUAGCAGCAGCAACCGCCGGUCUGGAUCCGUCAACCAGUUAUGGAAAGUCUCCAGUCCAGGCGUUAUUCCAAUCGGCCGAGGCCGAUAGCCCCGCAAUACCAAACAACCACUUCAGAUAUCGGCAGGAGGACAGGCGCUCUAGAAACACUCAGGGUUGCGGCGUCGAUAAUAUUGUACGAUGAAGUGACAGAUACACUAUGUCAGCAGCCAUCGGCUACUCAGCCGACAACCCAGCCACAAUAUCUGCAGAACACUCCAGUUUAUCACCCGAUCAUGGAACCGCAAAUCCAACAGCACGUACCGAUUCCUCAGCCGGUCGUGCAUCAGCAGCAGGUUGAUUGGACCGCGAAGAUAGCAGAGGUAAUUCAAGAUCAGUUUGUGUUAAAAGCAAAAGUACAAACUUACAUGUACAAGACGCCAUACCCACUUGCCUACGAUCUGUUACCGUUCCCUCAUCGGUACAAAGUCCUUGACUUCACCAAGUUCUCGGGCCUAGACGACACGUUGACUGUCGAGCACGUUAAUAGGUUCAUCAUCCAGUGCAGGGAGGCUGCUACGCAAGAUGCUUUGAUGGUGCGCUUGUUCUCGUCAUCCCUAUCCGGAUCAGCCUUGCAGUGGUUCACUACACUGCCGCCCAACGCCAUCGUUACCUUGGCCGAUUUGGAAAAGCAAUUCCAUAAGUACUUCUAUGCGGGAAUCCACGAGAUGAAACUCUCAGACCUAACUAGCCUCAAGCAAAGAAGCGAUGAGUCGAUGGCCAGCUACAUACAGAGGUUUAGGAAAGUUAGGAACAAGUGCUACACCUUGGUCUGGACUGACACCCAACUAGCCGAUAUCACCUUCCAAGGACUCCUGCCACACAUCAAAGAGAAGUACGCCUCCCAGGAGUUCGAAAGCUUGAGCCAAAUCGUCCAUCGGCUGUCCGGCCAAGAGAUACACCCUUUCGACCAACGAAGGAACUUUCAAAAGAAGGUAGCUUAUGUGGAAGGGUCUGAAUCGGGAGAGAAGGCGGAAAUCGGCCUAGCAGAGUCGGUAAAAGGAAAAAAGCCGAUAUCAUGCCCGUUUGGAAAAAAGGAACCAGAAACAUUCGGCUUUGACACGUCAAAAGCCGACAAAGUCUUCGACUUGCUGCUUCAAGAGGGGCAGAUCAAACUUUCGCCUUACCACACCAUUCCGUCGGCCAAGCAGCUCAAAAAGAUGAAAUACUGCAAAUGGCACAAUACCACAUCCCAAGACAAAAAUGAGUGCAAGAUCUUCCGACAAUAGAUACAAUUAGCCAUUGAGCAAGGAAGACUCAAGUUCGAGGUUCCAGCAAAACCAGUGAAGCCGAUGAAGAUUGAUCAACAUCCCUUCCCCGCCAACAUGGUCAAUGUAGGAAGAAACGCACUCCAAACCAAAGUUUUGAUGUUAGAAUUGGCCAGGAGAAGCGGUGCAGUGGAUCCCAAAAAUCAGGCCACGAUCGGAGAUGUCAAAGGAAAAGGACGGAUGGAAGAAGAAGGUGAAGGAUCAGAAAGGCCACGUCGGCCUGUCACUUCCCAAGACUUACUCAGCAAGUAUCAGCAGCAGCGGGAAGAUUCAAGACGCCACGAAGAGAUGAUGCGCCGACACGAAGAUCACUGGAGGUGCCCGUUUUUCAUCCACUGCUGGGAGAAUAACCUUAGAUUACCGUCGGCUGAUAAUUGCCCUGAGUGCAACGGCCAGUAUCGCAGUGGUCGUCCGUUCAAUAGAUCACGCUCCAAGGAUCGAGGGCUAGAGCCAAUCAGCAGAAAGAGGCACGAGCAAGGAGAUCGGCGCGUUUCAGUGCGUGAUCGGCUGGGGGGUAGAGUUGACCAGCAUAAUCGGCUGGGGGGCAGAACCAGCGCACAUGAUCGGCUGGGGGGUAGAACCAGCGCACAUGAUCGGCUGGAAGAGAUAGCUGACGCCAAAGUCUCAGAUGAGAACCUCCUAGGGUGAGAAUCAGGCUGGGAGCGUGCAAAGCCGCCGAGUAAACCAGUAAACCCCAGAUGGUGCCCAGCCGGUUUGACUAAGUCCUUGAAACGGAGGGUCCAGCGUUUGCACCAAUGGGAGCAGCAAGAAGAAAAACAAAGGUAGGUGAUGGAUAACAAAGGGGACAGGUCUCGAGUAUGGCGUCCUAGAAGAAAAUCCGACGCAGGAGACUAAAAUCAUGAUUCGACAGCUGACUUCAGCAUGAUGUUCAUCUUGCCGAUGGAGUUCAUGCCUCCCGCCGACCGGGACAAUGCGAUAGAGAUAGAGGAGCAAAUGGCACAAUUGGCUCUGGAGCCAAUGACCGCCACUUUUGAGAAACCCGAGGAUUAAAAACGCCAACAUCUCAAGGCCCUGUUCCUCAAAGGACAUGUCAACGGACGACCAGUCACCAAGCUGUUGGUAGAUGGAGGCGCUGCUGUGAACAUCAUGCCCUAUGCUAUGUUCCGCAAAUUGGGCAAAGGUAAAGAAGAUCUAACAAAGACGGAUAUAAUGCUCAAGGAUUUCGAAGGCAACGUAUCUCCGGCCCGAGGGGCACUCUGCGUCGACCUCACCAUCGGGAGUAAGGCCCUACCCACUAUUUUCUUUGUUAUUAAUGGCAAAGGCUCCUACAACAUGUUGCUCGAGCGAGAUUGGAUCCACGCAAACUGCUGCAUCCUGUCUACGAUGCACCAAUGCCUUGUCCAAUGUGUCGGCGACAACAUCGAAGUAGUCAUCGCCGAUUCCACCUAUAGCGUUGCCACGGCCGACGCACAACAGUGGAGCUACGAUCACGUCAAAUUCAAAUAUGGUAGGGUUUGGGACACCAAUUUCCUAAAGGUGUCCGAUUUCGGUCUACAGCCAAUCCAAGCAGUCAGCUCUAAAGAAUCAAGUUAAAAUGGAUCAGUUCAUCUGAGAAGAUGGGAAGCUCGGGCACGGGUUUACGUCGGCCGAUUCAUUGGAGAUGGUGGACCUUGGAGAUGGCAACAAGCCAAAGCCGACGUAUAUUCGUGCUAGGUUAGAACCCGAGUAUAAGCAUGAAUUAAUGAGUCUUUUACGAGAAUUUAAAGAUUGCUUUGCUUGGGAGUAUCAUGAGAUGCCUGGUCUAGACCGGUCCAUCGUCGAACACCGGUUGCCUAUAAAACCAGGGCAUUGGCCGCAUCAGCAACCUGCACGACGUUGUAAUCCUAAAAUUUUACCUGAUAUAAAGGCCGAGAUUACAAGAUUAAUUGAAGCAGGGUUUAUUCGGCAAUGUCGCUAUGCCGAGUGGAUUUCCAAUAUUGUGCCCGUAUACAAGAAAAAUGGAAAGUUACGUGUGUGCAUUGACUUCAGGAAUGUUAAUCAGGCUAUGUCGAUGGAUGGAUAUCCGAUGCCGAUGGCUGAUGUUUUAAUAGACGCCACCGCAGGACACAAAGUCAUCACCUUCAUGGAUGGUAAUGCUGGGUACAAUCAGAUAUUAAUAGUCGAAUAAGAUAUUUCAAAGACGGCUUUCAGAUGCCCAGGCCACCUCGGUUUGUUCGAGUGGGUAGUAAUGAGUUUCGGUUUAAAAAAUGCUGGAGCUACGUACCAACGGGCUAUGAAUUAUAUAUUCCACAAGCUUAUUUGUGUCCUGGUGGAGAUCUACAUUGACGAUGUCGUGGUCAAAUCAAAAGGGUAUCAGGAACACCUGGCCGAUUUGCGAAAAGUGUUGGAAUGCACAAGAAAGCAUGGGUUGAAGAUGAAUCCAAACAAAGUGUGCCUUCGGCGUUUCGGCUGGACAGUUUCUGGGAUUCAUGAUUCACGAGCGAGGCAUCGAGAUCAAGCGAAAAAUUAUAGUUGCUAUCAACAAAGUCGUGGGCCCCCAGAAUAAGACUGAGCUACAGUACUUAAUCAGCAAGGUUAACUUCAUCCGACGGUUCAUAUCUAACUUGUUCGGGCGUAUUCAAGCUUUCACCCCUUUGUUGAAAUUAAAACCCGAUCAAGAAUUUGUAUAGGGUAAGGAAUAGCAGAAAACAUUAGAUGGCAUCAAACAAUACCUAGUCUCGCCACCAGUAUUGGUUCCGCCGCAGGCCAACAAGCCAUUCAAAUUAUACCUAUUGGCUGAUGAACGAGCUAUUGGGUUGGCGCUGGUCCAGGAAUGUGAAGGAAAAUAAAGAGUAAUCUAUUAUGUCAACAGAAGACUCCUGAACGUUGAAACUAGAUAUCCUCCGGUGGAACGGCUGUGCCUUUGUCUAUAUUUUUCAUGCACCAAACUCAGGCACUAUCUGUUAUCGGCAGAGUGCAUAGUCGUUUGCAAAGAUGAUGUGGUCAAGUACAUGUUGUCAUUGCCGAUUUUGAAAGGGAGGAUUGGAAAGUGGAUUCUAGCUCUCUCAGAGUUCGACCUGAGGUACGAAUCGGCCAAAGCUGUCAAGGGGCAAGUAAUGGCCGAUUUCGUGAUCCAGCACUGUGGACCAGAAAUUACUGUCGAACCAGCUCCGUGGACACUAUACUUUGAUGGGUCUGCGUGUGGGGCCGGAUCGGGAAUCGGCAUCAUCCUCAUAUCGUCUCGAGGGGCAAGUUAUGAUUUCUCUCUGCCGUUUGAGGCGUCCGCUACUAAUAAUCAAGCGGAGUAUCGGGUUGUUCUAAAAGGUAUCCAAUUAUUAAGAGAGGUCAAAGCUGACGUGAUGGAAAUUUUUGAGGAUUCCAUGCUCAUUGUAGAUCAAUUAACUGGAAAGUCUGAAUGCAAGGAUGAUAUCUUGAGGAUUUACUACGAAGAUUGCCUCAAGUUAUUGAAGGAGUUCAAGUCUUUGAUUAUUGAGCAUAUUCCCAGGAAUUACAACGAAGAAGCCAAUAGACUUGCCCAACAUCCUUCCGGGUAUCGGCUGUGUUGACGCCAGAUUUUGACACGAGUAAAAUCGGCGUUAGAAGUGGAAGAAAUUAGGAGAUGCGGCGAGAUACAAGGGCAACGAUUGGAAAUCGGCCGAUUGGUGCUACAGUCAAGGAUCGGUUGGUUGGUGCUGCAGUCAAGGAUCGGCCAAUAGAUGCUACAGACGAGGAUCGGCCGAUUGAUCCUUAGAGUUCCGCCUCGCACGACCCCUGGUUUGGGAUCGGACACGCCCGACCCUCCAAGGGAGGAUCUCCGCCUCGCCCGACCCCUGGUUUGGGAUCGGACGCGCCCGACCCUCCAAGGGAGGAUCUCCGCCUCGCCCGACCCCUGAGGUUUGGGAUCGAACGCGCCCGACCCUCCAAAGGAGGAUCUCCGCCUCGUCCGACCUUAGUUCCCAGGGUCGAAAUGAGUCUGAGCCCUCGAUAUGUGGGUCCUGAUCGGUUACCCCCCUUGCCAAAGAGGUGAUCGGCCGAUUAGGAGGUUGGAAUAGUUGGGCCGAUGUGGGCUCAAGAAGGAUUAUGAAGAUGAAGAGGGGGUCAGCCCAUGAAGCGCGUGAAAAUAGUACGAAUCGUACUUGUAAAUAUUCGUUUUCUGUUUAAAUUUAGGGAUAGAGUUCUAGUCGGAUAAGAAGUCGUUUGUACGGGGCUAUAAAUAGCCACCGUUGUAGAUCUGUAAUCAUCAUCAACUCAAUACAACAAACUACUAUUUCCUCGUACUUACUUUCAAGCAGGCGACUUUACCAACACUUUUUCUCCUUUUUCACGAGUUCGUACGGGUUGGCGGGGCUGCAUCAACUUGACCUCCGGCCGAUCUUGUAAGUUCCGUUUAUCGACUAAAUUCUAAGCUUUAACUUCGGGCGCAUCGCUGUCAUUUCGUUUAGAUUUAUUCAUCAGUUAUCGAUAUUUACUAGAAUUCUAGGUUUUACCUGUUGUUCUAGUUUUAUCACCAAUUAUCCAGCUAGGAAUCGGUAAAUUCGGCUUUCUUUAUACUUCUCUGUCUAAUCUAUUUAUUUUAGCCGAUUAGAUCUGUUCCUAGUGUUGCUACUGUAGCGUUGUUUAGAUUACUCUAGCAGUUUUCUUUAUAAACGUUACCUGGUAAUCGGUUGCACUAUAGCCGAUUUCCUUAUUACGGCAAAUCGGCCGAUUCGCUGAUAAGCUUUCUUGAGAUCGGAACCUUAGCUGAUCGCAACCUCUGGGAACUGACACGUUUAUUUCCUUGCCAAUCAACAGUUCAGAUUGGCUGGCUCGCCGCGCGAACCGUACCAGGGCAAUCACCCGAACAGGAGUUAAGCAGAUUCUCCCGGGUCGUGUGUCCGACGCUGGGAAUUCGGUCAGCUGAUUUCUAGUGCCAACACACUUUUGGCACGCCUAGUGGGGCCAAUACAACCGCCACCAUGUCGAAAGCUGCUGAAGUCUCCGAAGAUAACAUCAUCGAAGUGACAGAGGCAGAUCUCAGGGACGACCAGAAGGAAGAACUAGAGAGGCAGACAGCAUACUACCGGAAGACAUGUCUGCAGUCCUUCAGUCGCACCAGGAGCGAGGAGACUAUCAAAAAGGCUCCGUUUCCAACUCCCCGCCAGAUCACAAUCACCGAGGAUUCGGACAAGAUGUCCGAGAUGGUCCAGCAAUCCGUCUAUCAAGCUUUCAUUGAUCAAUCCCCGGUGCUUUCUAAUACGGUAUACAAUGCCGUCAUCAGCUCCUUGGCUAGUGGUGUAUCUCAAGGGUACCAGGGGCCGGCAUAUGUUCCGCUGAUUAUGGCUCCGAGCAAUGCGGCGACAUGAAGAUCACUGGCGAUGCCCGUUCUUCAUCCACUGUUGGGAAAGCAACCUUAGGUUGCCUUCGGCCGAUAAUUGCCCCGAGUGCAACGGCCCGUAUCGUAACAAUCGGCCGUUCAGCAGGUCUCGCUCCAGAGAUGGGAGAUCAGAGCCGAUCAGCAGGAACUGGCGCGACCAAGACAACCGGCGCCCUCCAGUACGUGAUCGGCUGGGGGGCAGAAGUGACCGGUAUGACCGGUCGGAAGGCAGGCGCAAUGAUGGGCCGGGGGCAGAUUUAAUCGACGUGACCGGCCAGAAAAUAGAGUCAGCGUCCACAGACGACUUGAAUAGAUGGCCGAUGCUCGGGUGUUAGAUGAGAACCCUUUAGGACGCGAACUAGAAUGGGAACGCGCCAGGCCACGAACCAAACCGGUGAACCCCAGGUGGUGCCCCGAUGGAUUGACCAAGUCUCAAAAACGAAGAAUCCAACGUCUCCGCCAGUGGGAACAGCAGGAAGAAGAGCAACAGUACACGACGGACGAGAAGAAAGGCAGGUCUUAGGUAUGGCGCCCCAAAAGAAACGACAGAGGAGGCGACAAAUCAGCAGGCGAUGAAUCGGCAGCCGAUAUCGACAUGGUCUUCAUACUGCCGAUGGAAUUCAUGACUCCUGCCGACCAACAGGACAUGUCAGCAAUAGAAGAGUAGAUGGCGCAAUUGGCUUUGGAGCCAAUGACAGCCACAUUCGAGAAGCCCGAAGAAGACAAACGGCAACACCUGAAAGCGUUGUUUCUUAAAGGGCAUGUCAACGGCCGACCCAUCACCAGAUUACUGGUAGACAGAGGGGCUGCAGUCAACAUCAUGCCGUACGCCAUGUUCCGGAAGCUAGGGAAGAGCAAUGAUGACCUGACCAAGACAGACAUGAUGCUCAAGGACUUCGAGGGCAACGUAUCCCCCGCUCACGGCGCUCUCUGCGUCGACCUCACCAUCGGCAGUAAGACCCUUCCUACUACUUUCUUUAUUAUUAAUGGCAAGGGGUCCUACAACAUGCUACUCGGCCGAGACUGGAUACAUGCAAAUUGCUGUAUCCCAUCUACAAUGCAUCAAUGCCUCGUAUAGUGGGUCGGCGACAACAUUGAGGUGGUCACCGCCGAUUCCGCAUACAGCAUCGCGGCAGCCGACACGCAACAGUGGAGCUGCGAAACCGUCAAGUGCAUAUCCGGGAGAGUAUGGGAUACUGACUUCUUGAAGGUGUCCGAUUUUGGCCUACAGCCGAUCCGAGCAGUCGGCUCUGAGGACUCAGAUUAAAUGGAUCAGUUCACCCGAGAAGAUGGGAAGCUGGGACAUGGGUUCACGUCGGCCGAUUCAUUAGAAAUGAUAGACUUAGGCGAUGGCACCAUACCAAGGCCGACAUAUAUUAGUGCAAAUUUAGAUCCGGAAUACAAAUGUAAACUGACAAGUUUGUUAAGAGAACUUAAGGAUUGCUUUGCUUGGGAAUAUCAUGAGAUGCCCGGAUUAGACCGAUCUAUCGUUGAACAUCGGUUACCCAUAAAGCCAGGGUAUCGGCCGUAUCAACAGCCUGCACGGCGGUGCAAUCCUAAAAUCCUACCGGACAUAAAGGCCAAAAUAACGCGGCUAAUCAAAGCAAAAUUUAUUCGGCAAUGCCGUUAUGCCGAAUGGAUCUCCAACAUUGUACCAGUAUAUAAGAAGAACGGAAAGUUACGCGUAUGCGUCGAUUUCAGGAACCUCAAUCAGGCCACACCAAUGGACGGAUACCCCAUGCCGACGGCUGAUGUACUGAUAGAUGCCGCCGCGGGACACAAGGUUAUUAGUUUCAUGGAUGGAAACGCUGGGUACAAUCAGAUACUUAUGGCCGAAGAAGACAUAUCUAAAACGGCCUUCAGAUGCCCGGGUCACCUUGGUUUAUUCGAGUGGGUGGUAAUGACUUUCGGCUUGAAAAAUGUCGGCGCUACGUAUCAGAGAGUCAUGAACUACAUAUUCCACAAACUUAUCGGCAUACUAGUAGAAAUCUACAUCGACGACGUCGUAGUCAAGUCAAAAGGACACCAGGAGCAUCUGGCCGAUUUACGACAGGUGUUGGAAUGCACUAAGAAACAUGGGCUGAAGAUGAACCCGAAUAAGUGUGCCUUCGGCGUAUCCGCCGGACAAUUCUUAGGAUUCAUGGUGCACGAGCGGGGAAUAGAAAUCAAUCAGAAGACUAUAGCGGCCAUCAACAAAAUUGUGGCCCCGCAGAAUAAAACUGAGCUGCAAUCUCUAAUCGACAAGAUGAAUUUCAUCAGGAGGUUCAUAUCUAAUUUGUCUGGGCGAAUCCAAGCCUUCACACCAUUAUUAAAGUUGAAGCCCGACCAGGAGUUCGUAUGGGGGGAAGAGCAACGCAAGGCAUUGGAAGAUAUCAAGCAGUACUUGGUCUCACCACCGGUAUUGGUCCCUCCUCAAACUGGUAAGCCGUUUAAACUAUAUUUAUCAGCCGAUGAACGAGCUAUUGGGUCGGCUCUGGUCCAGGAGUUCGAGGGAAAGGAACGAGUAAUUUAUUAUGUCAGUAGAAGACUUCUGGACGCCGAAACAAGGUAUCCUCCAGUGGAGCGGUUGUGCCUAUGCCUUUACUUCUCAUGUACCAAACUCAGGCACUAUUUGCUAUCAGCGGAAUGUGUGGUCGUAUGCAAGGACGACGUGGUAAAAUACAUGCUGUCACUGCCGAUUUUGAAAGGAUGGAUCGAAAAAUGGAUCUUGGCUUUGUCGGAGUUUGACCUUCGAUAUGAAUCGGCAAAAGCCGUUAAGGGUCAGGUCAUGGCCGAUUUCGUUGCCCAGCACUGCGGGCCAGAGGCUACCUUCGUAGAACCAGUACCUUGGACCUUAUACUUUGAUGGAUCGUCAUGUGGGGCCGGAUCAGGAAUCGGCAUCGUCCUCAUAUCGCCUCGGGGGGCAAGCUAUGAUUUCUCUCUACCGAUAGAAGCAUCCACCACUAACAAUCAAGCAGAGUACUGAGCUGUACUGAAGGGAUUACAAUUGCUAAGGGAAGUCAAAGCUGAUUCCGUCGAAAUUUUUGGGGAUUCCAUGCUUAUCGUGGAUCAGUUAACAGGGAAAUCCGAGUGCAAGGACGAUGUAUUGAGGAUUUAUUACGAAGAUUGCCUCCUGCUUCUGAAAGAAUUCAAGUCGGCAGUUAUCGAGCACAUCCCAAGGAAUCACAACGAGGAUGCCAACAAGCUCGCCCAACACGCAUCUGGGUAUCGGCCGAUUCAAGGCGCCUUGGCUCUAGAGCUCGCGGCCAAUGACUGGCGAAAGGAGAUUGCCGAUUACCUGAAAGAUCCGUCUAAGAAAGUGGAUCGGCGGGUAUGUUUUCAUGCUACCAAAUAUGUGCUACUGGAAGACGACUUGUUCUACCGAACAAUUGAUGGCGUCCUACUCAAGUGUCUAGGAACGGAGGAGGCUAAGACUCUGAUGGGAGAAAUCCAUGAAGGAGUGUGUGGAGCCCACCAAUCGGCACAUAAGAUGAAAUGGAUGAUUAGGAAUAAUGGGUAUUACUGGCCGACGAUCCUCGAAGAUUGCUUCAAAUAUUAUAAAGGAUGUCAGGAUUGUCAGAAAUUCGGGAAUGUCCAACGUGCGCCCGCAUCGGCCAUGAAUCCCAUUAUCAAACCAUGGCCGUUCAGAGGUUGGGGGAUAGACCUCAUCGGCCAAAUUUAUCCUCCGUCAAGCAAAGGGCACAAGUUCAUUCUGGUGGCCACUGAUUAUUUCACCAAGUGGGUGGAGGCAAUUCCGUUAAGGGCCGUGACAUCGGCUGCUAUGGUUGACUUCGUAAGAGACCAUAUCGUCUACCGUUUCGGCAUCCCCCAGACUAUCACGACCGAUCAAGGGACAAUGUUUACAUCAGGAGAAUUCGAGGAGUUCACAGCCGACAUGGGAAUCAAAUUAUUAAACUCCUCUCCGUAUUAUGCCCAAGCUAAUGGCCAGGUCGAAUCUUCCAACAAGGGGAUAAUUAAGUUAAUCAAGAGGAAGAUAGAGGAGCAGCCGAAAAAGUGGCAUCUAUGUCUGACUGAAGCUCUAUGGGCAUACAGGAUGGCUUGCCAUGGGGCCACUAAGAUGUCCCCUUAUCAGUUGGUGUACGGUCACGAGGCAGUACUACCAUGGGAGUUGAGGGCAGGAUCGAGACGCACUUCGCUCCAGGACCAGUUAGCGGCCGACGACUACUCCUCACUCAUGAAAAGGGAACUUGAUGACUUGGCUGGCCAACGAUUGAGAGCUUUGAUAAGCAUCAAAGAAAACAAGAAGAAAGUGGCCAGGUGGUAUGAUAAGAAAGUCAAAGUCAAACAAUUCUCUCCGGGGGACCUGGUAUGGAAGUUAGUGUUGCCGAUCGGGUCGAAAGAUCCUAAAUUCGGUAAGUGGUCCCCUACGUGGGAAGAGCCGUAUAAAAUCGGCAGAUGUGCUCCAGGAAACGCUUAUAUUCUGGAAACAAUCGAAGGAGAGAAGAGUUUACUAGGGCUUUGAACGGAAGAUACUUGAAAAGGUACUACCCUAGUAUAUGGGUCGGAGCAUAAGGAUCGACCAUGAUGAACAACACACAGCCAAUACAAAAGGAUUCGUCUAGAGAAAAAAACGUAAUCGUCCAAAUCGGCCGAUGUAUUUCAUUCGGUACGGACGGUGGGUUACACGGCCGACAAGGUACAAGUUGCCCUUAGAACAAAAAAAAAUUAAUCACGCUUUUUCUUAAGCUCUCUCUCAGCCCGACCUAGUUCUAUCAGAAGACGGAUGUACUCUUCUUUUAUCUCUUUCAUCGAAGCCUCCGCUUCGACUUGACGGGGGAGAGGGUGACUCCGGUCCAUGGCCGGGCGUGAUGUUCCUACUGCUGCAUCUUCAAGGACGAUUUGAUGAGGAAGCGGAUGACUUCUGUCGGCUUGAGGUCGCCGGUGGUCGUUGCUGUCCAGAAAGUCCCAGAUCCAUCGGAUGUCGGCAGGGACGUGCUCUUGGAGUUCGUCGCGAUGAGCUCUGAUUAAAUCCUUAUCUUCUUGCGACAACGGUUCAUCGGAGUGUACAAGUCCGAUGGCUCGUUCGAGUUCGGGGCUAAGGCGCCGUGGCUGCGGAAAGCAACAAUAUACAUAUAGCUGCCGAAAAGGUGAUUCCCUUCAGAAGAGCUAAACUAAGAAAGAGAAUGAAGGCAAAUCUUUUACCUGAUUAACGGAGGAAGAGGUAGAGGAUGGAGAAGACAUGACUGAAAGGCGCACCGACGUGAACAGGUCGAGGAAGAUGAAGCCGAGUUAGAAAGGUACUCUCGGAACGGUCACCUAGGCCGGUGUUUAUAGGAAAGGAAGGCAUGGAUGUUUGGUAAGACGCGUCCCAUCGGGAGUGUGAAAGGUAAUAAAUAAGGGGGCGUCGCGAAGGACGGUCAAAGGGAUCAUUAAAUGUUCGUACAAGAACUGCCAGCACUUUUACAGGUCACCCAGAAGGGCAUCGAUAGCUGCGAUCGCUCGACGCCGGAUCUGAUCGGCAGAGUCCAGGACCCGUUGGUCAUCCUCUGCCGAUCCGGGGACUUCUAACAUAUGGCGGUGGAGUUUGAGGGCCUCGUGAGCCAGAUGCUGCCUCUCUCGUUUCAGAUCGGCAAUGACAGAAGGGAGUUCCUGAAGCCUCUUCUCUUCGGCGUCUAUUGCUUUGGUCACCUGCUCCAUCUCCUUGGCAAGCUCUGCCCUUCGGCGUUUGAGGCGAUCUAUCGUGCCGACGAUCCCCGGGCGAGAGUCUUCCAGAAAGUGAAUCCGUUGAUGCACCUCUUGAGCUUGACGCUUGUACGUGUCUUCUUCUUCACGAGUUUUGGUCAACUUGACGCGAUCGGCCAUGUGGCGCAGGGCCCUAAAGACUGGAAUCCUCAUUGACUCGAUAUAUGCAGCUGGCGCCAAGGCCUCUUCCGCUUCUUCUGGUACUCGCCCGCUGACGUCACCAAAAAGUUGUUGAAUCAGCGAAGCGUCUUCUACCAAUCGGCCGAUGUCCUCUUGAAGAAGGGAUCGGAUGCUUGCGAGUUUGGCACGGACGUCAUCAGGAACGGAGCUCAAAGUGACCUGGCGAGAGGCGACUUCCUCAUCAUCGGAGAGUGCGACCGCAAACGAGAAAAGGCUGUUGUUGGGGGUGUCCUGUUCCUGAAAAAUAGUGAGUCAAGAAGAAGAACAAAUCAGCCGAUGAUGAUAGCAAAUCGGCUGAGUAAGGGUGAGAAAUCUCUUACCUCCUUGAAACGGAUUUCUUCAAACUGCGUUUGGGAGGCUGUUAUCCUCGAUUCAGGGGCUGGUACCAUUGGUUCGUCAGAAGCUGAAGACUCCACCAUGAUUGGUGCUUUGCUCGGGCCAGCUUCCCGAAAGAUGACCAUUGGUUGGUUAGGUGGGGCGCUAAGCGUACCGGUGACCUGUGUCAAAAGAUUGAAUAAGAAUAUUAUCCAAAUACUAGAAAAAUCGGUUGAAGAGUAGUAUACCUCGGCAGACGGAAGCGUGGGCGUGUUGAUGACCGAUUGGGUUGCUGCCGAUUGUUGUGAGUCCACAGAAGUGAUUUGUGUAGUCUAAAAUAAGAUGAGUCAGUAUAGAGAUGGCAAUCGGUAGGAUCAAACAACAAGUUUACCUGCAUGGCCUCCACCAGUAAUGAUGCAGCGGCCGCCCCAGCUUGCGUGACGACUUGAGUAUCUACUUCUCCAGCAGCUGGAAGGGGCAAUGUGGCCGAAGUUUCUGCCGAUGUGAUCGUAGGAGGGUCGGCCGGUUCUGUACGAGCUCGCACUCGGCGACUGGUCUUCUUGGUAACCUUCUUCUGCGCCUGCUUCGAUCGGCCGGCAAUCACAUCCACGGAAGGGGCAUCGUAGCCGAUAAGGGGGAAGAUGGUGUAUAGGUGAUGGUCCUCUAUCGGCCGGCCACUCCGACUGUGUGUUGGGGGAACGCAGUUUUCAGACUGAAGCAACAGCAAGAUGUUAGUGUACAUAUUUAACCGCAUUAAUAAAGGAAUGAAAAUCAGUUAGGGAAAAAAAAUACCUCGGUGUUCGGAUCGAUGUUGGCUGGAUCCAGGAGGUUGCAGUAUGUCGAUGCGGAGGCACAGAAUAGGUACUGUUUUCAUUCGGCCCACCAUAGCUUGAAUGGUUGGACAACAAAGGGGGCUACUAUCCAGUCAUUCAAGUCUAUGGUACUGGAGUCUGGUAUCCGGUCUCGCAGCCGACUAUAGUCAAGACCCUUGGUGAGCUCAUCUCUGAACUUUGCUCGGCCGACGAAGUAUGCCUGAAUCGGCAGUUGACCCAUGCCGAAUUGCCGAGCUGCAACGGAGGGAUUGUAGAAUUCAUAUGUAGGGGCAUCCUUUCCUGAGAAGAAGUUGGCCGGUAAGAUCCCCGGUUUAAUUAGUUCAUCUGUGAGAUCUUCGUCGAAUCAGCCGGUGGUUGAGUCGAAGCAAGAAGGGAGUUCAAAGAUUGGGUCAUCUCUCCAAUAAGGAAACCAGACGGUUGCAUCUUCAUUGAAGCCGUUAUAAAAACACUGGAAGUAUUCGGCCACCUUGGUAGCAGAGUACGAGCAACCAGAGAAGGCCGAUGCCGCUUCGCCGAAAGACAUACACCGGCGUCGGACAGUGAGAUUCUCUGCCGAUUCGACGCUGGGGAAUGUCAUGUGUUCCACUCGCUGCUGAGAGAUCUCGCUCAUGUACAAGUUCAGCCAUAAGUUAAUGAACCACCAGGGUCCACCUGGGUUUCCAAUUGGCUACCCUUGGGAUAGCUUGAUGCCGAUUUGGUGAAGCAUGUGGUAGGCUGCUCCCAGUAAGUGCUUUCCAAGAGGAACAGAAGUCCCUAUUGAUAAUGCUUCGGCCAGAGCUUGGGUAUUGGUAGAUGGACCAGCUGCUCUCCCACAGAAGAAGUGCUUCUCUAGCCACAUCAUCAGGAAGGCCGUGUGCUCUCUGUUGUCGACAGAUCCGGCCCUUUUGUUGCAUCUGAUGAAACCUUUCCACCUGCCGAUUCCCCUUGUGUCCAGCCGAUGUGAUGUUGCGGUUAUAAGGCGGAAAGGGGUGUCCGGGGAAGAAAUAUCCAGGCCGGUCAGGAAGACUACAUCGGCCAAUGUGGGGGUCAUGGGUCCGUGUCCAAACAGGAAUGCGUUGAGAGCAUUGGACCAGAAGUAAGAAGCUGCCACCACUAAUGGCUCAUUCCGUUCCAUUUGGGACAAAGAUAGAUCGAUGCAUUGGCCAAUUUUGAGCUCGUCCCAUUGGACCUUCUUGGAAGCGGUUAUCCGCUGGUACCAUUCCCUCCAACUGGGAGUUUCGUUCGGCCAAGACCUAAAGGUACUCAACCAGUGAUCUAGGUCCAUAGUUGAUUGUUUGAAGGGGAUCCUAUGGGUUUUCCAAAUUGAUUAAGUCGGUUGGAUCUGGAUUUCCCAUGGGUCCAAGACAGAUAAGGCCGAGGUUUUCUGUGAGACGAAUGGUGAUGCGAUGCCUAACCGCCUAAAAAGGAAAAGGGGGUGCGAGGGUAAGAAAUAGAUCUAAAGUACAUGCAUUACUAAUAAGGGAAAGUUUCGGUAAUGACCUCCGGGAUGAAGCUCCUCGUAAUCGGCGGAGUCGCCGGUGCAGCUGCAGACGAUGAAGCUGCCAAUGGGAUCUCGGAUGAAGCUUCAACUUUCGCCAAUGGAGCUCCUUCUUCCGUCGAUGGAGCCGUCGUUAUCGCUACUGGAACCUCCGCCGAAGGCACCAUUUCUGGAGCUUCGCGCAUUGGUGAGGUGCCUGAAGGUGCCGCCAUUGGAAAAGUAGGAGGCAAUGCGAAAGGAAGGAGGCGCUGGAGAAUUGGUGGACUAAGGAAAGUGUUGGAGGAAGAAGAAAGCCUGUGCACUGAAGAAGAUGGACAUGAGCUCGUAAGGAGUACGGGAUGUGCUGAUAUUUAAAGAACGUCUGAGAAGGGGUAAAAGUGGAAUUUUUACCGCGCUGGCGUUUUGAGUUUUUCGGGAGUAGUGGUUGUCGUGGGCACCCGUUUCGAAAAGAUUGCAAUCAUCAGGUUGGAGACCGCGAAAUGGAAGGAUGUUUUCAUUGCGUCUGUUUCGGAUGAGAAGUUGAAAAGAAUUUUGAAGUAAAGACUAUGUUUUACUCCGAAACUGGGAGGCAUGUGUUGACGCCAGAUUUUGACACGAGUAAAAUCGGCGUUAGAAAUGGAAUAAAUUAGGAGAUGCGGCGAGAUACAAGGGCGACGAUUGGAAAUCGGCCGAUUGGUGCUACAGUCAAGGAUCGGUUGGUUGGUGCUGCAGUCAAGGAUCGGCCAAUUGAUGCUACAGAUGAGGAUCGACCGAUUGAUCCUUGGAGUUCCGCCUCGCCCAACCCCUGGUUUGGGAUCGGACGCGCCCGACCCUCCAAGGGAGGAUCUCCGCCUCGCCCGACCCCUGGUUUGGGAUCGGACGCGCCCGACCCUCCAAGGGAGGAUCUCCGCCUCGCCCGACCCCUGAGGUUUGGGAUCGGACGCGCCCGACCCUCCAAAGGAGGAUCUCCGCCUCGUCCGACCUUAGUUCCCAGGGUCGAAAUGAGUCUGAGCCCUCGAUAUGUGGGUCCUGAUCGGUUACCCCCUUGCCAAAGAGGUGAUCGGCCGAUUAGGAGGUUGGAAUAGUUGGGCCGAUGUGGGCUCAAGAAGGAUUAUGAAGAUGAAGAGGGGGUCAGCCCAUGAAGCGCGUGAAAAUAGUACGAAUCGUACUUGUAAAUAUUCGUUUUCUGUUUAAAUUUAGGGAUAGAGUUCUAGUCGGAUAAGAAGUCGUUCGUACGGGGCUAUAAAUAGCCACCGUUGUAGAUCUGUAAUCAUCAUCAACUCAAUACAACAAACUACUAUUUCCUCGUACUUACUUUCAAGCAGGCGACUUUACCAACACUUUUUCUCCUUUUUCACGAGUUCAUACGGGUUGGCGGGGCUGCAUCAACUUGACCUCCGGCCGAUCUUGUAAGUUCCGUUUAUCGACUAAAUUCUAAGCUUUAACUUCGGGCGCAUCGCUGUCGUUUCGUUUAGAUUUAUUCAUCAGUUAUCGAUAUUUACUAGAAUUCUAGGUUUUACCUGUUGUUCUAGUUUUAUCACCAAUUAUCCAGCUAGGAAUCGGUAAAUUCGGCUUUCUUUAUACUUCUCUGUCUAAUCUAUUUAUUUUAGCCGAUUAGAUCUGUUCCUAGUGUUGCUACUGUAGCGUUGUUUAGAUUACUCUAGCAGUUUUCUUUAUAAACGUUACCUGGUAAUCGGUUGCACUAUAGCCGAUUUCCUUAUUACGGCAAAUCGGCCGAUUCGCUGAUAAGCUUUCUUGAGACCGGAACCUUAGCCGAUCGCAACCUCUGGGAACUGACAUGUUUAUUUCCUUGCCAAUCAACAGGUCAGAUUGGCUGGCACGCCGCGCGAACCGCACCAGGGCAAUCACCCGAACAGGAGUUAAGCAGAUUCUCCCGGGUCGUGUGUCCGACGCUGGAAAUUCGGUCAGCUGAUUUCUAGCGCCAACAGGCUCAUUUAUGUCGCCUGACACGCGAAUAUGCACUUUAACCAAGUCAACCUGGUCGACCGUCGGAUUUCAUCCGAUGAACCACUUACACAGGAUCAAGAAGCAUCGCUCAAACGAAGGUGAGUAGCACAGAGGUUACAACAUUCCAUUAUGACAACUUAGUUCCACAAUUUAUUACAUCAGAGUUUCAGAAAUUCAAACAAGUUGCAAGGUUCGAAAAGUCGGAUAAAACAAGCGAAAACUAAACGUCGAUACAGGAUAUCAUGACGAAGUUGAUCAUGACAUCAAAAAUCCCUACCCUCACCGUCCGAGGAGGGAUCCCACUCGAUUGUCCAGCCCGGAGGGAGCUGGGUAGGCCAAGUGGUGCCAGCAACCAAACUAUUGACAUGACCUGAAAAGAUUAAGCCAUAACAAGGCUGAGCAACUAAUACUCAGCAAGACUGACCCGUCGAGUGAAAAGCUUUACCAAGACCUAGACAUGCAAGGCUUUCUGGCUCUGGGAUUACUUUGCCAAAAGCAUCUACAGUCGGUCCUUACUUUCAAUAUUUUAGCUUAAGUUCUACGUUCUUUAACCAGUCUAGAUUAGCAACUUAUACUAAACAAGCAUAAUUUCCAAGUAGUUAAAUAACAAGCAUCAACUUAAUCUCAUAAUCAUGUUUCAUCGUUACUCAGUGCAGAAUAGCGAUCAAGUAGUCCCAAACUGUGAGAGACAGAUGAAUCGAUUCGAAUUUAUUAACCAUGCAUGGCGAACCUAAUCUCACGACAUCCGCGCACCACGAAGGGUCGCUUCAUUUGUCAGCCGUCCCCAUCGAUCCCUUAGGCACGUGUCAGGGCCAAACUGCCUUUGGCGUGCAAUGCUCCACAGUCCCGACCUCUGUCGUACUGUGACCGCCACUGCACCCACAUGAUGCACCAUGGGAACGACGUUCCAAGGACAGCAGGAGUAUAAGCCACGUCCCAGUUCAGUCAGGUACUAGGCUUCCCCAUCCCAGACUAGGUAUGAGAUUAGUACUUUCAAACACUUGAUCACGAACGCUGACACGUUUCAACCUUAGAUCAAUUUCCUUUAGACAGACGGGGAAAACCACCAAGUAUCGAACAUAAGCCCGACCCCGUCCGUCAUCCUUAUAGUUGCAACAUAAAUAAACAUUCAACUCCUAUAACUCGCGAGUGAUAGGAAAUCACUCGACUUUUACUGAAACCUAAUAAGCAUUGCAACUACUCGACUUUAGCAACUAGUAUUCAAACAAGGUACUAAGUUCAUGCAUCUACGGUUUCAAUCAACUCCUACACACGUAAAUGCGCAAACAUAAACAUCAACAUGUUGCAUAAAGUAAAACAGGGAAGUCAUGCACCGGGGCUUGCCGUCAGGAAGAGUUAGCGGGUCCUCGGGGUCUUGAUCCGGCUCAGGCUCGCCUUCCAAGUGGUGAAGCUCCGCAGCGGGGUCUUCCUCCGGUGUCGGGUGGAGCUCGUAGGUUCCAUCGGCGAGAUUUGCUUCUAUACGACAUGCAUAUGCAAAAGUUUAGUUGGACUCACGCGUUUAUUCAACGACACAAGGCUUGGCUUAAGACAAGGAGUUGCAACAGCCACAUUCACUUUGACGAGGUUCAACUUUCAUGCAACUUCAAACGAAUGUGGUCGGUUUAAACUUGAGUUCGAGUUGAAUGGCGAUUGUGUACAUAUAUAGUUUUCUUACACUUAGAGUUGCAUAAAGAGAAUGAAAGGUCGUGUUUGGGUGGUUUGGGUGCAUUAGGAUAGUUACUUACUUCUGAAUGUUUUUAUGUACCUCUUUCAAUUUCCACUUAUUUAUCGUAUUAGAAUUUGUGCUUUCCUUUUAUUCCUUUAGGUUGAUUAAUUAACCAAAAUGACUUCAUAUCCAAACAGCAGCUAAAGGCACUGAUAAAAUUACAACACCUCACUUAAGCCAUAGCUGGGUUACUCUAAAAUUUUGGGGGCCAUUGGAUGACUUAAAAAGGAAUUACAUGCAUUUUAUUAUUAAAGGUAAAAUGAGCUUAACUUUUUCUAUCUUCAAAGUUACUAUGCAACAGAGGGUGAAACUUAACCAGUGUGUUAAGGGUAUGUUACAGGAUCUUUGGCGAAUUUUUCAUAAUUUUUGAAGAAGGUUAACUAUUUACUCUAUUUCCUUUUUAAUUAAACAUGCUUAGCAAGGAAGGUGUUUUUUCUUUCCGAAUUGCACAACAAUUUACAUUUUUCCUGCAAACUUCACAGCAAAACAAAAUUAACCCAACUAGUUUCACAUUUUUUUGAGCUCUGGAUCAAAACGUAUGCAAAAAGGAAGAAUUAAUCUUAGAUUCCCAAAUUAAAGUCAAAACAAUGACUUAAAGUGCUAGACCAGAGCCCUAACCAUUUUUCUGAGCUUCUACACAUAGAAACAAGCAUCACAGAGUUGGUUUUACAUUUUUCCCACUUUUCUUCUAUUUAAUAGGAUUAAAAAGGCCUAAACCAUGAUUAAAAGCAUAUGAUAUUAUUUACAACAGUAACAUGAGCAAACUUAUUUUUCUUAGGAACUAGAUAGAGCAAGGAUUCCAACAAAAGUGGUUUGGUAUUUUUAUGAUUUUUCUACGAUUUACUGGGCAUUUACAAAGUUCAACCAUAUUUCUACCUAUUAUUUAAAAGAAAAGCCGUGGCAAACUUGCAGGUUAGCCCCUGGGUCUAUGGGUUAACUACGCAGAGGUCCCUGAGUUUUGCGCCCAGGCCCCUGGAAAGAAUGGGGAUGAUGCAAUGUAGUCCCCAGGGCGCGCGCGGCGGCGGCGAGGAAAUCCCCGGCGGUUCGUCGGCGGGGAUGGGGCAACAAGUGGUCGGAGGGGUGCGGGGGCUCACCUGAGCUCGGUUUGGUGGGGUUGGGGCGACGGAGAUGGUCGGUAGGGAUCAAAACACGGCGGCGGCGACAGAGCUUGGCUGGUGGCGGUGCAGGCGUCGUUCCGGCGCACUGGCGGCGUCGGGGAGGCCACGGGCUGCUCGGAGACGUGCGCGGAGGGGGGGCGAAGUGGGCGGCGAAGUUGCCGGAGUACGGGGUGGCGCGGAGGGGUGAGCUCCACGGGAGCUUAGCGGCGGCGCUGAGAAGGAAGCAGAGGCGUGGUUGCGAGCGGUGGCAAAGGGUGGCAUUGCCGGUGAGGGGGACCCUUUUAUAGGGCAGCGGUGGAGCGGAGGGUCGAGGUGGGGCUCCGGUGGAGGAAGGAUAAGGCCGGGAGCGGUGCGUGCGCGAGCGAGGCGGCCAUUGGCCAGCGGUGCCAUUGGGCAGGGGAGGCGGAGCUCCGGGUGGUCUCUGGCCGCGAUUGGCCUCGAGCGAUGCGUGUCUGAGGCCUCCGGUCUGUCGGCGGGCGAAGCGGAGGGCCACCGCGGGGGUUGGGCGAGCGGGCGGAGGCGCGGGACGUCGUUGGCGUGGUGGCUUCUCCAGCGGGUGGGCGAAGCGCGGUUGGGCAGAGCAGAGCCGCGGCAGAGGGAAGGGCACGCGCGCGGCCGACGGUUGGCCAGCCCGGCGUUCGCCCCGUCUUGUCGCAGGCGCGGGUUGGGCGCCGUGGCUCUCACCUUAUCGUUGUCUCGCCGGGGAUAGGGCGCCGGUGAGCUGCCGGUGGCCAGCGGCCACGAGGCACGCGGUGCGCGGGCGAACAUGCCCUGGCGCGCGGGCGUUGAGGCCCCUUCGGGCAGUAAGCCCGACCAGCUUUGAGAGAUCCUAUCUCAAGAUUUUGCAACACAACUUCCAAAACUCUUCUAAACAAACUUGUUCAACUCUGGACGUAGUUCAAACUUGGUUUAAGGUGCUGGUUUAGAUUGUGAAAGGAUUUGGAGAUAUCUCAUGCCAAAGUUUGCCAAAAAUAUGGAAAUCCAGACUUAGCCAAUUUUGGCCGGAGAGGUGGAAUUUCAGGAACUUAGCUAUGUUUGAGUCAACUUUAGGGCAGCUUCCAAGUUGAAUUAGACAGAAGUGUUAAUAGAGGAGUUGCUCUCCAAACUGAGGACUUCAACUUCUAUUUAGGGUAUUUCUGGAGUUUAGUUCAGAAAUUUGGAGGAACGCCCUCGCCAAGAGGUGCACUCUGAGCAGUUUUCCAGACUUAGCGUUGUGGUGCUCAGGGGCUGAGUUGACUGCUUUGCUCAACUUUGACCAAGAUUUUGAACAGGUUCUGGUUCGAUUUGGACCUGGGUCAUUGUAACAAACUUGGAAAACACUUGAGGUAUUACAACCUUUAUUAAGAGCCUGACUUGAGUUUAGAUAUGAAAUCGUGAGAUAAAGGCUUGCAAAGUUGGAGGAAAACUUGAAUUCCACGACUUGGAGGUUUAUAGGGUUCUUUAUUAUUCCGGUUUUGAUUCCUGUUUUUGACUUCCUCCCACUCCGAAUUAGCCAAAGUGACUUUAACAAAUAUUGUUUGAAAUUAAAAGUGUUACAACUCUUAUUUGGGCAAAAUUUUAAGUUUGUAUAUAAAAUCUCAAGUUUUAUUUUAAACUCCAUAAAGAGCUUCUUAGGGUUAAAAUGGUCAUUUCACUUCCUUUACUUAGUGAUUAACCACUGGUUUAUAUUUAAAGCACUUAAUUUAGGUAGAGUUGUUACAAGUAUCCACUCACUACUUUACCAAAUGGGUGCAGGCAGUCCCUCUGAAGACCGUGACGUUGGCCGUCAUGAUUGAAUUCAUAAGCGAGCACAUUAUCUAUUGGUUUGGUAUUCCUCAGACUGUUACGACCGAUCAGAGAACAAUGUUUACUUCAGGAGAGUUUGAGGAGUUCACUUCCGAUAUGGAAAUUAAGUUGUUAAAUUCUUCUCCAUAUUACGUUCAAGCUAAUGGUCAGACCGAAUCGUCCAAUAAAGGGAUAAUCAAGUGUAUCAAGAGGAAGGUAGAGGAGCAACCAAAGAGAUGGCACAUGACUUUAAGCGAGUCUUUGUGGGCCUACAGGAUGGCCUGCCACGGCGCUACUAAGGUGUCUCCUUAUCAAUUAGUGUAUGGAUAUGAGGCGGUGCUCCCUUAGGAAUUGAGGAUGGGGUCUAGACGCACGUCGAUUCAAGAUUAGUUGACAGCCGACGAUUAUUCUCUCCUUAUGAAAGGGGAGCUUGAGGAUUUGGUGGGUCAACGAUUGAGGGCCUUGAUCAGUAUUGAAGAGAAUAAGAAAAGACUUGCCAAGUGGUAUGACAAGAAGGUCAAGGUCAAGCAGUUCUCGCAAGGGGAUUUGGUAUGGAAAUUGGUAUUGCCGAUAGGGUCUAACCAUCCCAAAUACGGCUAGUGGUCGCCUACUUGGGAAGGGUCGUAUAAAUCGAUCGAUAUGUGCCAGGAAAUGCAUACGUAUUAGAGACCAUCGAGGGAGAGGAAUUUACAAGAGCCUUAAAUGGGAGAUAUUUGAAAAGAUACUAUCCCAGCAUAUGAGUGGACGCGUAGCCGAUGAUAUAGUGUAUCGAGUCGUUAUGGCCGAUUCCUAUUGACUCGUGUUUAUAUAGCCGAUGCAGGGAGGCAUCGCCUUGAGGACGAAACCUCUAAUCAAAUUGGCCGAUUAUUAUUCGGUACGGUGAUUGGAUACAUGGCCAACAUGGUACAAGUCGCCCUUAGACCAAAAGUACCAAUACAUCUAUCGGGUUACAAUAUGAUUAACUGCAUUUCAACUGGGCUUUGUUUUUAUUGAUCUCUCUUUGGACCCGGCCUAGUUCUAUUAAGAGACGGGUGCUCUUUUCCUCCCUAUCCGCCAUGGCAUCUUUGAGAGCGACCUGGCAGGGUAGCUGAUGACUCCUCUCAAUUGGCGGCUGAGGUGGCUCCCUGGAGCUGUUGGCUUCGAUGUGAUCCACGAUCUUCUUAAUGUGGGUCGGAAGAUGGUCUUUAAGCUCCUCACGGUGGGCUUUGAUCAGGUCUUGGUCCACCUGCAUCAGUGGUUCCUCAGAGUGCAUAAUUUCGAUAACUCGCUCAAGAUCAGGGCUGAGCCGGGUCGGCUGGACAAACAGCGGGCAAUCAGUUGUCGAAAAGAAUUGGUCAAGGAGCGCAAGGCUGAUCUCAUACCUCAUUGACGGGGGAAGAAGAAGACAUCUUGGCGCCCGGUUAGGGAUCUGAAAAUGGUCGAGCAGAGUGUAGAAGGAUGGAUGAGAUACGAGUGCCUCUGGGAGGAAUGUAGGGACCCCAUAUUUAUAGGAGAAAAGGUAAGGGGCAACGGUUGGCAAAGGCAUCUAUUCAAAGCAGAUGAAUGUUGAGCUAAAAGCUGCGAAGAGGAAACGUUCAAGUCCGUAUUCACACAAUGAUGGCAAAAGGGGCAUUAAAUGUUUGUGCAGAGGUGUUCAAAAGAUAAUUCAAUGUUUUGAUACAUUCAUUCAAGAAGAAUAUUAAUGGCCGCGAUUGCCUACUGGCGGAUCUGAUCCGCUGAAUCUAGAACUCGUUGGACAUCUUCGGCUGAUCCAAGAAUUUCUAGCAUGUUGCGAUGAAGCCGGAUGGCCUCAUGCGCAAGGGUUUGCCUCUCCUGCUUCAGAUCAGCGAUGACGGUCGUGAGAUCAUGAAGAUUAUUCUUUUUGGCGGUUAUAGCCUUUGUCACCUACUCCAUCUCCUUGGCAAUCUCUGCCCUAUGCUAUUUGAGACGGUCUAUUGUGCCGACGAUGUCUGGGCGAGAAUUUUCGAGUACGCCGAUUCGGUGAUGUACCUCUUGAGCUCGGUGUUUGUAGGAAUCCUUCUCUUCACAUGGCUUUGCCAGCUUGGCAUGAACGGCCAUGUGCCGCAGGGCUCUGAACACCGGGAUUUGCAUUGACUCGAUGUAUGUAGGAGGUGCAAGAGCUUUUUCUACAUCCUUCAGGACUCGGCCUUUUAUUUCGCUGAAGAUUUGCCAAAUCGGCGAAGCGUCUUCCACCAAUCGGCCGAUGUCAUCUUGAAGAAGUGCUCGGAUUCUCUGGAGCUUUGCACGUACUUCUUCCGAAAUUGAACCUGGAGCCACUUGUCGAGAGGCUACCUCUUCAUCAUCAGAAACAGCGAUCGCAAAUGAAAAGAGGCUGUUAUUGGGCGUAUCUUGUUCCUAUAAAAGUAAGAGAGGAAGGAACGGAUUAGCCGACAGUAGUGGGAAAUCGGUCGGAUUGGAUGUCGAAGGCCCUUACCUGUUUAAAAUGAAUUUUCUUCUGUUUGUGUUUGGGGGAUUGCUACCCUUGUCUCAGGAAUCAGCAUGGUUGGCUCGUCAGAAGAAGAAGACUCGACGGUGAUCGACGUUGUGUUUGGACCGGCUUCCUGAAAGUAACAAAAGGAGAGUCUCUAUAAGUAUGAAGCAAUAGUUAGAUCUAAGGAUGAGUACCAGUUACUUUACCUCUGUGAGUCGUCCGGCCGAUGACUGUUGGAAAGGUAUGAUUGAUGUACCCAGAGUGGCCUACAUUAGAAAUCGGUCAUUUUUGACUAAGGAAUAAGAGACUUGAGUAAGAUGUAUGUUCUUUACCUCAGCUGCAAGGAUUGCUGGUGGUUCGGUCUCUGCUUGGGAUGCGACCGAUUGCUGUGAGGUUUGCUCCGAAAGAAUUUGCGCAGCCUAACAAAAAGUGGAAAUUAAUACUGAUAGUAUACUUGGAGAAAUGUGAAGCAUAUAAAGUUACCUGAACAUCUUUUACCAAUAAGGAUGCAGCUGCUGAUCCGGCUUCCGUAGCGGCUUGGGGGUCGACCUCCUGGGCGAUCGGCAGAGUUGGUGUGGCUGAAGACUCGGCUGGUGGCACCGCCGAUUGAUCGGCCGGUUCUAUACGGGCGCGCACCCGGCGGCUUGUCUUCUUUGAAGAGGAUAUCUUCAUCUUCUGCUUCAAUCGGCCUGUGAUGAUAUCUUCGAUUGACGGGGACUGAAAGCCGAUGAUUGGAAAUGAAGUAUAUGGGUGGCGAUUCUCUAUCGGCCUGCCACUACAGUUGUGCGUUGGAGAGAGUUGGCUUUCAGACGACAAGAAAUGAGGGAAAUCAGUGGUAAUACUGUAAGAGUACGGUGUCAAAUCGGCCAGAAGGAUUGGUACCUCUGCAUUCGGAUCAAUGUUAGCGGGGUCCAGAUCAUUACAAUAUGUUGUAGGAGAUGUGCAGAAGAGGUGUUGUUUCCACUCACCCCACCAUAGCUUGAAUUGUUGGACAGCGAAGGGGGCCACAACCCAGUUGGCCAAUUCGAUGGUACUGGAAUCCGGCGUCAAGCUGCACAGCUGAUUGUAUUCAAGACCUUUAGAGAGCUCCUCCCGACACUUAACGCGGCCGGCAAAAUAAAUCUUAAUCGGCAUUUGUCUGAGGCCGAAUUGCCGCGCUGCCACUGAUGGGUUGUAGAAUUCAUAGGUUGGGGAGUCUUUUCCUGAGAAGAAGUUUGCUGGUAGGAUCCCAGGCUUGAUCAAAGUAUCCAUAAGCUCAUUAUCGAAGUAAUUGAUGGUUGAAUUGAAGCAGUCGGGGUUUUCAAAGAGUGGCUCAAUUCUCUGAUAUGGGUACCAGCUUGUAGUUUCUUCAUUGAAGCCGAUAUAGAAGCAUCUGAAAUACUCAGUUGUAUUUGUGGGGGUAAACUUGCUGCCAGGAGAAGCUGACGCUACCUCGCCAAGGAAGUGCAACGCCGUCUUAAUGUUGGGUUAUCCUCUGAUUCAAUAUUGGGGAAUGUCUUGGUCUCAACUCGUUCCCUGGAGAUCUUGCUCAUGUAUAAGUUGAGCCAGAUGGUGAUAAACCACCAGGGGCCACCAGAGUUCCCAAUCGGCUCUCCGGAUGACAGCUUGACUGCGAUUUGGUGCAUCAUAUGAUGAGCCAAUCCUAGCAGGUGUUUUCCUAAGGGGAUAGUAGAACCUUUUGCUAGGGCCUCGACCAGAGCCUGUGUAUUGGAGGAGGGGCCAACUGCUUUGCCACAGAAGAAGUGCUUCUCUAACCACAUCAUCAGGAAAGCUGUGUAUUCUCUAUCGCCGAUAGGACCGGUCUUCAUAUUUUUAUCAAUAUAGCAUUUCCACCUGCCGAUUCCCUUUGUUUCCAGGCGAUGGGUUGGUUUGAUCAGGAAAUUGAAGGGCAAGUCGGGGGAAGAGAUGUCAAGACCGGUCAGCAUCAGGACGUCGGCCAAAGUAGGGGUCAUGGGCCCAUGUCCAAAAAGGAAAACAUUGAGAGCGUCAGACCAGAAAUAAGAAGCUGCCAUGACCAAAGGUUCAUUCUUCUCCAUUUGAGACAGAUAUAAGUUUAUGCAUUGGCCGAUUUUUAGUUCAUCCCAAAGAACCCUCUAAGAAUUGGACAUCCUUUGAAACCACUCUUUCCAGCCAAGGGUUUCGUUCGGCCAAGAUCUAAAUGCACCUGUCCACUGGCUUAAAUCCAUUGGUGACUGCUUGAAAGGGAUCAUGUGGGUUUCCAGGUUGAUCAAUUCAGUGGGAUCUAGAUUCCCCAUGGGGCUAAGACCGACGAGGCCGGGUGCGUCAGAAACAGGGAUGGUGAUUUGCUGCCUAAGUUCCUAAAAAGGAUACAAAAGGAGAACUAAGAACAGAUCUAAAAGAUGCGUGAAUGGUGAAAAGUAAAAGUAAAAACUUUGGGAUAUUUACCUCUGGAAUGAAAGCCAUAGUCGCCUAUGGAGCCGCUAUUGGAGUAAACAGAAUAGGAUGGACGGAAGAUGAAGGAGGAAUCACCGUAGGAAUGCAGUUGGAAGAUGAAAGGGUGCCGAAAUGCGAUGGAAGAUGAUUCGCCGGGGAAAAAAGAGUUUCCCAGCUUGUGGAGAAGAAGCGGCGGAGAAUGCAAAUAUUUAAAGAUGGUUCGAGAGAAGGGUAAAGGUGGGAUUUUACCGCGCUGUCUGCACAAAUUUCGGGAAGAGCGGUUGCCUGCGAGCGCCUAGCUCGAAAAUUGUGAUCAUCAGAGAGAAGACCGCAGAACAGAAAGGAGCUUUCGCCGUGCCCGCCUCGGAGGAUGAGUUAGAGUUGAAAAAAAUUUGAAGCAAAAAGUUUCACUCUGAAACUUGGGGGCAUGUGUUGACGCCGGAUUUUGACACGUACUUGAAAUCGGCGUCAAAGAAGGAGAAAGGGGGGCCGAUGCGGCGGACUAGAAGCUACAGUUGGGAAUCGGCCGAUUGAAGCUACAGUGUUUCAGCCGAUUGGUGGAAGAAAUCGGUGGAGGCUGGCCGAUUGAGAGCCAAAGCAGUUUGGCCGGUUUGGGCCUAAGGUGGACCAGGAUGAAGAUUUGCUGAAGAGACAGGCCCGUGGGAAAAUAAUAACCAACUCGAAUAUGAGUCGUGUUUGUAACUAUUUGUUGUCGUUUGAAAUUAGAGAUAGAUUCUAGUCGGUUAUGAAAUCAGUUGCAACAGGCAAUAAUAGCUGCCUCGAGAGGCUUGUAAAAAAAUAACACACAAUCAAUAAAACAAAUUUACUCUUUCCUCGUACUUUACUUUCAAGUCGGCGACUUCGCCAAAACCUUUUUCUUUCACGAGUUCGUACGGAUUGGCAGGGCUGCAUCUACAUGAUCUCCGACCGAUUCUGUAAGUUCCGCUUAUCGAGUAAUAUCUAAGCUUUAACUUCGGGCGCAUCGCUGUUGUUUCAUUUAGAUUUAUUCACUAGUUAUCGAUAUCAACUACAGUCAUAGGUUUUACCUGUUAUUUUAGUUUUUAUCACCAAUUAUCCAGCUUGAGGUACGAGCUAUCGGCUUCUAUUAUUUUUAUCCUUUAUCAUCACAUAGCUGAUUAGAUCUACUCCAAGUGUUGCUUUUGUAGUGUUGUUUAGGUUGCUCUAGAAGUUUUCCUUACGAUUGCUACGUGAGUAUCGGCUGUCUUAUAGCCGGUCAUCUCUAUAGUAAAUCGGCCGAUUCGCUAAUACGCUCUUCAAGACAGAUCGGAACUCUAGCCGAUCGAAACCCCUAAAAUUUAAUAUUCUUCUUUCCUUUGUCAAUCAACAGGUCAGAUUGACUGGCACGCCGCGCGAACCGCACCAGGGCAAUAACCUGAACAGGAGCUAAGCAGAUUCUCCCGGGUCGUGUGUCCGACGCUGAGGGUCAUCGGCCAAUUUUCAGGGCCAACAACAGCUUUUGGGCAAAAGCAUAUAGGACUUUUAGGGGGUGUUUGGCAUGGCUCUAGAGCUGAACUCCGGUAACUCCAGCCAAUUUUCCAGCCAAACACCCUAGCUCCAAAACUCCAUGGAGCUGCAGUGCAAAUGGGAUGGAGUUUUGGCGCACCUCUUUUGUAGCUCCAAAACCACCUAAUAUGAACCUCCUCGUGGAGUUGGUGGGUAAUUAACCAUCAAUGCCACUGAUUAAAAUAAAAAUGAUUCACUUCUAUUUUCUCUCGAGACCCCUCCCCGCGCCGCCCGAGGCCUCCUGAUGCCGCUCUCCUGCGCCGCCGCCUAGCGCCGCCGACAGCUGCUGUCGCCGUCCGUGCCCCGCGUCCUGCGGGCUACCGCCUCGCCAUCCCCAUGAGCCCCCUGCACCGCCGUCAGAGCCGCCAGCCGAGCCGCUGCGGCCGGGUUUCCGCCGUCUUGCCGCCUCUUUCCUCAACUGGAGUGAGCCAUCAGCAGCAGCAGAUUCCCCUCGGCGAGCCACGCCCGUUUCGCCGGUUCCGUUGUCACCCUGCUGCCGGAGUGCCGCCGCCACCGUGAAAACCGCCCGCCCCCCGAUCUCCACCACCACGCUGACCACCUCCGUCCAUGCCCUCCGCCGGUGAGCACACCCGUAGAUUCCCCUCGACCCCCUCUUCCUCUUGCGCCACCUGCCCAAAACACCACCUCGCCGGAGCGCCAGCAAGCUAGCUGGCCAGAGCCCCGGUGAGAGGAGGAAGAAGGAACCUGGCUCUUUUGUGAUUGGGUCCUUGAGGAAAGCUAAAAUCUUUUGCUCUGUUCCUUGCUCCCGGCGAGAGGAGGAAGAAUAGUGGGCUUCUGUGGUGGAGGGCGAGAUCGAACCAGGAGUCAGAAUGUCAAUCUACCCUCAAACUCCUCUUUUCUGGAGUUGGGAACACCCUCCCAACCAAACACCUUCAUCAGACAGCAGGUUGAAAAGAGGCACAUGAGGCUCAGCCGCUUAGGCCCACGGGCAAAAAAAAAAAACUCUUACUUUAUGGCGGAGUAGUUGCUGUUCCAGUGUGCAGGUAAAUUGUCGCAAAUGCCCUCUUGUGGUCGCGUUGCAGUAGCCGAUAAGGCGUCCAAACGUGAGGUGCACACACCUGAUCUGAUCCUCUCAGUGGAAACGGGCCAGGUCCAUGCAACCCAGGACAGGAAGGCUCUAUACCUGGGCCGAACGGUAGCCCAAGAGGCCGACAGUAAGUGAGCUCACGGGUGACGAACGGCCCAGAAGCCGCCCCAAUCCGGCCACCGCCACUGAGCCGGCUCGACUAAACCGGAUCGCCACGCAGCCCGACCGCGCAGGCGUACUUCCCGAACUACCCCCGGAGAUUAUCCAAUCGGACGGCCAAGCGCCACGCACUGCCAAAGAAUUCCCCGAAAUGACCCUACUCUUCCCUUUGCCUCCCUCGCGUGCCGCCGGUUCUGCUCGACCGGACCAGCGGUUCAGGCGCCGAAUAUUCGCCCGCGGAUAUUUCUUGCCCGGUGCGUCAACUCCGCCGCUAUAAAUACCCUCAUAGGGCGGCCGCUAGGGUUUUAGUGCUUCUCUCCCGGCGGCGCCUCCACAUAUCGUCUCUCAGAUCGGGAGGCGAAACCAAGGUGACUGACCUCAUCCCCUUUCUCCUCCCUCCGUCUCUGGUUGCUAUAGCUAUUUCAUCCAUGCGCUGUCCUUAUAGCUGAUUAGUAUUUUUACUAGUGGAGUUCGAGUCGUUUUGGUUCCAUUCAGUAGUGCUUGUGUUGAUUGGAUUGAAUCGGAGGACUCGAAGUGGUUUGUGCUGCUCGAAUCGUAAGUUUGUUGGGCUAAUCUCGAUGGAAUUUAUGUCAAUUCGUUGGUUUAGUGGUCCUUGGCAGUUCUCUCUGUGAUAGGCCCGUCCGAUCUGUAGAGAUGCGGUGGAAUCCUGGUUUACUCAAAACGGUUCUAGAUUCCUCUGUUCUUCCCUUAUUUUUUGUUUCGAUUACUUAGUUUGCACGUUAGGGGCCUAUGAAGUUUAUGUGCUCGGAUCCUUUAGUGAAACUGAUCUGUUUACUCAGAUGUGCUCGGAUCCUUCAGUGAAACUGAUCUGUUUACUCAGAUCUGCUGGUAGCUAACAGGUUCAGGGUAGUUAUGUUGAUGGUCUAGUUUUGGUAGUUUCAUUGUCGAUUUCUGUCCAUUUUUGUCAUGUUCUGUCCAUAAAAAUACUAUCUGUGCUUCUUCAUAUCUUGUAAUAUGAAUUCAUUUGACAAACUAUGCAUUUCUUUUAGAGUGUUUGUCUAAAUUAAUCUUCUGGUAUAUCCCUAUGCCAGUCUGUUAAUAUGUCUGUAUUAUAGUGUUUUGUUUGAGGUGGUAAUGUACAUGGUGCACCCUGCAGUUUUUCAUGUCUAAUAUUGAAUCUCCUUGUUUGCUGUAUGUAUUAAGGAUUAGUUUCACUUCAAAUAGCUUACUGCUGAUGCUUUCUUGUUUGUUUAAUAUGCUGUGUAAUCAUGUUGACCCUGAGGUUUGUAAGAAUUCCUCUUAUUUGAUUAUUGCAUGGAUUAGUGUCCUGAAGGAUAUGGCUCCUUUGUACAAUUAAGAUAAUUCACUUUUUUUUCUCAACUUUUAUAUGCUUACUAGCCCAUUAGGUUGUGUAAACAUUAGAGUGCUUUAGCCUGGUAAAGAUGAGUUAAGCAUUUUAAAUAAAUUUUUGGAUUUGGUUGAUAUCAUCCUUAACACCUGCAUUUAAACAAUUUGUCUCUUUUGAUCCUGACUAUUACAGUGGGUGUUACUUUCUUUAGUCAUUCUGUGGUAUCAAAGUUUCUGGUGUAGUUGUGUAAUUAUGGUUUUGGUUGGAUUCUUACUAGUAUUUUCUACCUUUAAACAGCAGGAAAUUAUAUACAUAUUUGUAGUGUGAUCUUCAUAAGAAGUCAAGAUGGUGAAGUUCACAGCGGAAGAGCUCCGUGCCAUCAUGGACAAAAAGAACAACAUUCGUAAUAUGUCCGUUAUUGCUCAUGUGGACCACGGUAUGUUAAGAACAGUGUUUAAUUAAAUGUUAUGCAUACCUGUUCCUCGACAUUUUUCAGGCUUUUCAAUUUUAGCAAUUGUUUUUUUUCAGUAUUAAAUCUCUGAAUUGUUCUUGCCAGUGAAUGCGAUUCAUGCUGCGUUAGCUAUCACAGACCUAUUUUACAUAUGUAGAAAUAUUCAUUUCAUGUUGGAAAUAGGCUUAUUGUUCUUUUGUAAUUAAUGUAUUGGUUUAUCUCUAGAUAUUGCAGUGUAUAGUAUCUGUUUACUAUGUGUUUUAUAUUGGGAUGUAUUGUUGUCUUUGUUAACUUGUGAGAGGUUGUCUAUCCCUAAUGUUGUACUAUUCUUGAUGCAUCUUCGGACUGACUUUUAAGUUCCACACUAUAGUCUUACAUCUCAUUAAUUCUUUGCAGGCAAGUCUACCCUUACAGAUUCCCUUGUGGCAGCUGCUGGGAUUAUUGCCCAGGAAGUUGCUGGUGAUGUCCGCAUGACUGAUACACGUGCAGAUGAAGCAGAGCGUGGUAUUACAAUCAAAUCCACCGGUAUUUCUCUGUACUAUGAGAUGACUGAUGAGUCACUGAAGAGUUACAAGGGUGAGAGAGAUGGUAACCAGUACUUGAUCAACCUUAUCGACUCACCUGGGCACGUUGAUUUUUCUUCGGAAGUCACAGCUGCCCUUCGUAUCACCGAUGGUGCUCUAGUGGUGGUUGACUGUAUUGAAGGUGUCUGUGUGCAAACUGAAACUGUGCUCCGCCAGGCUCUUGGUGAGAGGAUUAGGCCAGUGCUUACUGUGAACAAGAUGGACAGGUGUUUCCUUGAGCUUCAGGUUGAGGGUGAGGAAGCCUACCAGACUUUCUCCCGUGUCAUUGAGAAUGCCAAUGUCAUUAUGGCAACAUAUGAAGAUAAGCUCCUUGGUGAUGUCCAAGUCUACCCGGAGAAGGGAACUGUUGCUUUCUCUGCUGGUCUGCACGGCUGGGCCUUUACCCUCACCAACUUUGCCAAGAUGUAUGCUUCGAAGUUUGGAGUUGAUGAAACUAAGAUGAUGGAGAGGCUCUGGGGUGAGAACUUCUUUGACCCAGCCACAAAGAAGUGGACCACCAAGAACACAGGCUCUGCUACCUGCAAGAGAGGAUUUGUUCAGUUCUGCUAUGAGCCAAUCAAGCAAAUCAUCAACACCUGCAUGAAUGACCAGAAGGAUAAGUUGUGGCCCAUGCUUCAAAAGCUUAAUGUUACCAUGAAGUCUGAUGAGAAGGAAUUGGUUGGCAAGGCUUUGAUGAAGCGUGUUAUGCAAACUUGGCUUCCAGCUAGUACUGCACUGCUUGAGAUGAUGAUAUUCCACCUUCCUUCCCCAUCAAAGGCACAAAAGUAUCGUGUGGAGAACUUGUACGAGGGACCCCUUGAUGAUAUCUAUGCUACUGCUAUCAGGAACUGUGAUCCGGAGGGUCCUCUUAUGCUGUAUGUUUCUAAGAUGAUUCCAGCAUCUGACAAGGGCAGGUUCUUCGCCUUUGGUCGUGUCUUCUCUGGGAAGGUUGCUACUGGUAUGAAGGUUAGGAUCAUGGGUCCCAACUAUGUCCCUGGCCAGAAGAAGGAUCUGUACGUCAAGAGUGUCCAGCGUACUGUUAUCUGGAUGGGAAAGAAACAAGAGUCUGUUGAGGAUGUUCCUUGUGGUAACACUGUUGCUAUGGUUGGUCUGGAUCAGUUCAUCACGAAGAAUGCUACACUCACCAAUGAGAAGGAGGUUGAUGCAUGCCCAAUCAGAGCAAUGAAGUUCUCUGUCUCCCCUGUUGUGCGCGUUGCUGUUCAGUGCAAGGUUGCCUCUGACCUACCCAAGCUCGUUGAAGGUUUGAAGCGUCUGGCAAAGUCUGAUCCUAUGGUCCUCUGUACAAUUGAAGAAUCUGGUGAGCAUAUUAUUGCUGGAGCUGGUGAGCUUCACCUUGAGAUUUGCCUGAAGGAUCUGCAGGAAGACUUCAUGGGUGGUGCUGAAAUUAUUGUUUCUCCUCCUGUUGUCUCUUUCCGUGAAACUGUUCUUGAGAAAUCCUGCCGAACAGUCAUGAGCAAGUCCCCCAACAAGCACAACCGUCUUUACAUGGAAGCCCGUCCCUUGGAAGAGGGUCUCCCUGAGGCUAUUGAUGAGGGCCGCAUUGGUCCACGUGAUGAUCCCAAGGUUCGCUCCAAGAUCCUCUCUGAGGAGUUUGGUUGGGACAAGGAUCUUGCCAAGAAGAUUUGGUGCUUUGGACCUGAGACCACUGGCCCGAACAUGGUUGUUGAUAUGUGUAAGGGAGUGCAGUACCUCAAUGAAAUCAAGGAUUCUGUUGUGGCUGGCUUCCAGUGGGCCUCAAAGGAGGGUGCACUGGCUGAGGAGAACAUGCGUGGCAUCUGCUUUGAGGUCUGUGAUGUUGUUCUUCAUGCUGAU